rnacentral:lncRNA from 1 species
AAGCUUGUGAAGUAUUAUACAAGAUUCUAGAAAAAUCCAAGCCAUUUGAUGAACCCAAAAAUAAUUAUUCAUGGGACAAGUACAAUUCAUUCCUCUAUUUGUCCCGGAUUCGGUAUCUUUUUUUGUGAUGCAUCCAUGGAACCUAUGAAAAUCUACAAGUGCUCAUUCUUGAUACACAUGUUAGUCCCAAUGACUAUGUUGUCACUCAAUCACCAAACUCACAAACUAUGGCUUAAUGGGGCCAUGUUCCCUACAAUCUUCCCAUUUUUGGUGAUUGAUGACAACACAAUUAAAGCAAGCAUAAUUUUGCAAAAAUUGACCAAUUGAACCACUUACACUUGCUUGGAUGCUUACCAUUGUCCAACCUCCCCCUCUGAACAUCUUUAUAUGACUCUCCCUUGAUGUACUUGUCCCUUUUUUUCUUGUAUUUCUCGUCCUAUGUAUGUUCACACAUAGGUUCUUGCACUGGCUCUUGCUUUGAUUCCACAUUUCUCCCCCUUUGGAAUUAAAUUGCUAAAAAGGCAAUCUCUUCCAUUUGUAAGCCUCCAUGACCUUGCAAAUAUAGCUCAAAGGAAAACAUUAGUAGCCUAGGGAGAUAGCUUCAUGAACCAUGAUCCACAUGUGAUGGUACCAAUGAAGAUACCACUUAAAAAUGACUAGGAUGGAUCCAUAAUUCAUGAAACUAGCAUGACAUUAGCGAGCUCCCCCUAUGUGUGUGCACAACAUGAUGGUGUGAAAAACAUGUGCACAACUAAACGACAUGAAAUACUAGGACAAAUGAUUUGACAAGAAUACCACUUGGAAGAUUAAGCAAUGCAUACCUCCGGGGGAUAUCUCUUACCUUGAUGGCACCACUUGAGAUGAGCCACUUGAAAAUGAUAUCACUUGAAGAUGACACCACUUGAAAGAGGAUAACAAGAGAAACACAUGAGGUACCACAAGGAUAAGGAAUGUAUGAGUGCAUUGCCUUUGCACUUAUAUAUGAGAUGUAAGCUCGCAAGGAUAUGACUCAAUAAGCAUGAAUGCUCAUAUUGCUAUAGUCACUCUUAUAGAGUUGUUAAUUCAUAAUGAGAGUGAAAUAGCAUUCUCUUAGUGUGAUGCACUGGAUCGGGAACGCACCAUUAAGAGACUACACAAGAUAAGCUUGUAAAAAAGUUAGUAUCAAAAUCACAAACCAUAGGAUAAGCUCCCCCUAAAUGUUUGCAUUUAGUAUUUGAAUCACCAACCAAGAGUAUGAAUAUUGUUUUUGACAACAAAAGGGAAGCUAACCCUAUAGGAUGUGCUCAUGAUACAAAAGAUACUAAGUGAAAAAGCAUGUAUCAUGAAAGAACCAGAUAUAUCAAACCAUGUAGGUUGCUCAUGGGUUAGAGAGAUACACAAGAAACCUACCAUAUCAAAAUAACUAGGCAUUGCAAUAUAUAUCAUAUGAGAACACAAUGCAAUCAGACAUGGCAAUGGAGCUACAAUGAUGCUUGAAUUGGGUUCUAGCUACCAUUACCUUUGGAUGGGGGACUUGAGCAUAUAUGUUCAAUGUUGUGAGCUUGGCUUUUUAGACUUGAACCUUUAUUUUCUUGUGAGCCAAGCCUCCAAAUCCCCCCUAGCCGAUCAUGGGCUUCAUGUGUCUUUUGGAACCCAAACCAUUUGAGGCCCUUUCAUGUUGGUGAUCACUUUCUUGGGAACCCAAAUGGGUCAGUUCCAACCCCACUCCUUCUACAUCUUCCCAACCUUAUGUGCAAUCACCUUGCCAUUGGUCUUCUUCUUUAUGACGUAGGUGUUGCUCUUGGCCUUAUUCUUGCGGUUGGUCUUGGUGUAGAUGAUAGAGCUCUUGAUGGUGAAGUUCAUCUUUUUUUCUCAUCUUUUCUCAUCUUCUUCACUUGAGAGCAUUGGUAGGACUUGUGGCCUUCUUUAUGACAAUUGAAGAAAGUCACGGUUGCUCCCUUCUCAAGCUUCUUCACCAUGUAAUCAUGGUUAUCUUGAGAAGGUUGGACAUUGCACUUCUUGUCUUGAGAGGCUUGUACAUUGUCCGCCUUGUCCUUGCCCUUCAACUUGGCCAAUUUUCCCAUGAGCCAUUGCACUUCUUGCUUGAGCUCAUCAUUCUCCUUGGCAAUGAGAUCAUCACAUGGUUCUACAACAAUAUUCUCAAAGUAUUUCUCAUUGCAAGAUAGUGAGCAAGAUUCAUCAAGUAAAUCAAUGCAAAAAGUUGAAACAUCUACCUUAGAUAUAGGAAUUGCACAAAAGAUAGAUGAUUCAUCUAGCUCCAAGGAAUCCUUAGUUUCAUUUUCAGUGCUCUCAAUUUUAGAUUUGAGCUCGUCAUGCUCCUUACUAAGCAAGUUAAAUUUGCACAACAAAUUUUCAUAAUUUGUAGCAAAGGUAGCGUUAACAUCAUUGAGAGCAUUGAGUUCUUUUAUUUGCUUAGAUUGUUUCUUAAUGAGCCUUUUUGCUCAUGGAUUAGCUCAAGAAGAUCAUCAAUAGAAGGAGAAUCAGAUUCAUCAUCACUUACAUUUCUUUCCAUAUCUCGGGCCAUAAGGCAAAAAUGUGAUGAUGAUGAUGAUGAGGGACCUUGCAUGAAGCAAGUGGUGAAGUUCUUGCUUGAUUUAUUACUGGAGCUACAAGAACUUGAUUCUUCACUGCUUAUCCAUUCACGGACGAUGGUGAGUGCUUCUUACUUGGGCUUCCUCUCCUCCUUUUUCUUGUGCUUGAUCUUCAUGAUCUUCAUUUGUUGAUGAUGACGUCCUUCUCUCAAGUGGACAUUGUAGUCGUACAUGUUGAUCUCCUUCACGUAUUUGAAGACCUUCUUGGCGUACACAAUUACCAAGAACUUGGUUUCUUCAUCACUUGAGGAGCUUUCACCAUCAUCAUCAUCUUCUUCUUCUUCACUUGAGCUUCCAUGAAUUGCCGUCUUCCUCAACUUCUUCUCUUGUUGACUUGAAAGAGCAAGGCUUUGAGUUGGAGAAGAUGGUUUUUUGGGCUUAUCCUCGAGUUGCAUCUUGGGCUUGUCCAUUAGCCGAAACUCAAAUGCCAUGAUCUUGUUUAGAAUUUGAUUUGAAGUCAACUCAUCGAGCUUCAUUUCAAAGAGAAUUGCCUUCACCAAAUCAUAAUCCGGCUUCCGAAGGCUAUGAAGGAUUUUGCGAUUGAGUUCUGCAUCCUUGAUAUUCUUCACACAUAAAGCAUUGAUCUCAUUCAUAAGAACAUUUAAGCGUGAGUACAUAGCCUCGAGAUUCUCAUUAUCAAGUUGCUUAAAGUUAUUAAGCUUAUCAAUGAGAACAUCGUAUCUUUCAUUAGAUACGUCCUUUGAGCCCUCAUUGUUCUCUUUGAUAGUCAUCCAUAGCUUGUUAACAUUUUCACAAGUAAGUACAUGAUUGAAAAUACUUUCACUAAGUGAGGACAAGAUAAUGUUCUUGGCAAUCACAUCAUAUUGUUUUUCUUAUUUCCCUUUAUUUUUCAUGCCCUCACUAGUGACUCUCCAAACAUUUAGCCUCUUAGCUUGGAAAAAUACUUCCGUGAGAACUUUCCAACAUGGAUAGCUCAUGCCAUCGAAAGUUCUCACAUCUUCCGUGAGUCUGAUUUUGAUGAUCUUGGACUCUAUGGAAAGCUUAUGAAAGAAAAAAAUCCAAGCCAUUUGAUCAACCUAAAAAUAAUUAUUCAUGGGACAAGUCCAAUUCAUUCCUUUCUUUGUCUUGGCUUUAGUAUCUUUCUUUGUGAUGCAUCCAUGGAACCUAUGAAAUCCUACAAGUGCUCAUUCUUGAUACACAUGUUAGUCCCAAUGACUAUGUUGUCACUCAAUCACCAAAAUCACAAACUAUGGUUUAAUGGGGCUAUAUUUCCUACACAUAAACAAAAUUCAGCGAGGUACGAGGUUAUUAUCUAAGCUGGUUUUCCUAUCUUUCUAUUUAACUUGGAAGCAACAACUAUUUUGACUCGAUUGAAGUAACUGCUUGACCCAUAUGAACUACAAAAUGAAGUACCGUUUGGAAUCAACAUCAGAUGAUCGAGCCUUCUCGCUCCCCCAAAGCCUUUCGGAUCUUGCGACAUACGUGGCCAUCAGCUUUAGGUCAAGAACAAAUGUUUUUUACGAGUGGCAACUAAAAGAUUCCAACGCGGUCAUUUAGCGUUGCUUGAAAUGCGAGAUGAUCCAAAUCCCAACCCGAAACGAGAAUGGACGGGGUGGCUUUGAAAAGAGACUAAGGGGUGUUUGGAUAUUAGGUGCUAAAUUUUAACAGUGUCACAUCAGAUGUUCGGAUGCUAAUUAGAAGGACUAAACAUGAGCUAAUUAUAAACUAAUUGCAGAACCCCGAGCUAAUUCGUGAGACGAAUCUAUUAAGCCUAAUUAAUCCAUCUUUAGCAAAUGGUUACUGUAGCACCAUAUUGUCAAAUCAUAGACUAAUUAGGCUUAAUAGAUUCGUCUCGUGAAUUAGACUCCAUGUGUGCAAUUAGUUUUAUAAUUAGCCUAUAUUUAAUACUCCUAAUUAGUAUCAAAUAUCCGAUGUGACAGGUGCUAAACUUUAGCAGGUGGAAUCAAACACCCCUAAAGUAACUAUGCCAUGUACGUGUUGGUGCAUUGGACCUUUGCUCGUUCUUCUGGUGAAGAAGAGACGGGAUCAACUGUCAAGUUGACAAGACUACACCCUAUGGCGUGGGCAAAAGAUCGGUUGGUUGACAGUUUGCGCGUAUUUGCAAGGAAGCAGAGACAGAAACAACCUCCGCGGGAUGUGGGCAAAAGAAGAUAAGGUCAGGUGGAAAGACCGUGGAAAUCGAAGCAGCAGUGUGCUGGGCACGGUACUGUGUCAUGAACCUCAUACAAGCAGAAGGUUCUGGCCUCUCUGGGGGCCGUGCUGCGAAACGAACGUGCACAGAGUUGAUGGAAGCUUCCAUGGUCGUAGGGCACGCUAGUACCCGUAUGGUCUUUGAUCCACUGCAGUCUGCAGAUUAUGGGACCCAGGAGCUUAGCAGGAUUUUCUUGGAUUUUGAUCUUUGCUUUGCUAUAUUCCAUGGCAGGCUAAUUCUGCCGCUCAUGCGAGCGCGGCAAUUAUAAGAUUAGAAUCAUUUGGUUAAUAACAAACAGCACUGAGAUAUUGCUUGUUUUAAUGGCGUAGCAGGUCAAACAAAAAACACAUAAAUAUAGCUCUCUGGAGGCUAAAAUAUAAGGGGAUCAAAGAAGAACUAUUGCUGCUGCUUAGGUUAGCGCUACAGUACUUCAGACUAUGAAGCACCCCAAGAUGCGCGCGCGCACCUUCACCAAACCCACCACCGACGAAGACCACGCGGUGCCACCGCACGUGCCGCACCCGGCCCACUGCUAGGCGCACAGUCCACGCGGCACGGCACAACCACCGAGAACACCGGCCUCCGCGCGACCGCGCCAUUGCAUUCCUCAUCGCCAUGCGCCCAUGCCCCACUUUUUCGACUGUAUUUUGUUUGGCUCAACGCAACCCCUUUCGGUUGCAGGAGCACAGUCAGCCCAUGCAGUCCAGCGCAGACGAUGCACGGUCGAGCACGAAGCACGCAUUUCAAUUGGCUCCCCUGCUAAAGUGUAGCACUUAUCCUAUAGAAUAUUUGAUACUAAUCAGGAGUAUUAAAUAUAGAUUAAUUAUAAAAUUAAUUGCACAGAUGGAAUCUAAUUCGGAAGAUAAAUCUAUUAAGCCUAAUUAGUUCAUGAUUUGACAAUGUGGUGCUACAGUAACCAUUUGCUAAUGAUGGAUUAAUUAAGUUUAAUGGAUUCGUCUCGCGAAUUAGUUCAGGGGUUUUGCAAUUAGUUUUAUAAUUAGCUUCUGUUUAGCACUAGUUUGCUCUAGUUUGCUCUAAAGUUCGAGAGCAUUAAAAUCCGAGCAUCCAAUGUGAGACUGAUAAAGUUUAGCACUAGUUUGCUCUAGUUUGCUCUAAAGUCCGAGAGCAUCAGGUGCCUUUUCUUUUCGCAUUAGUGAACACCGACAAGCGACAAGCUACCUGUAUACCCUCACCUCGAACAUGGGUAUACUCCGAUUCAAGGCGACGCCAACUAAUUUUCAGCCCGUUUUUACUGAAUUCUUUUUGCCACCAGACCUGUUCACGAGCAGCCUGGCUUGAAAGUUGAGAGCGUAGCUUUAGGCCUUUCGAAAUCCGAAGAGAAGCGGAGCCUGGUUCGGGCCGGGGUGCCGACUGCCGACCAUCUCUUCCAGCCGGACAUGGUGUUCCAAUCCAACAGGUUUUGCUUAAUUCAUCAUUAAAAAAAGAAAUGCUGGUUCUUUCCUUUCCUUUCUUAUUUUCUUAUUUUCCCUUUUUUUGUCAGAGGUGCUUGCAUAACGCACGUCUGUAAAGCGUGAGUUGGUUCGAUGCCUUUAUCUCCAAAGAAAAUUAUAAUGAUACAAUAAAAGGAGUUGCUUUCUGCCCCUGCUCCAAUCAAGCUGCAGCAUGUGCAAACUUAUUCUUUAUUUCCGAGCAAAUAGCGUUGGGCCUUUUGUUCAAUUGAUGGUUAGAUAGAAGUGUCAUUAUAUGUCAUCAAAUUAGUUUUUUUUCCUUUUCUUUUGAGAAACAUCAUCAAAUCAGAUGAAGAGAAAUGAUGACAAAACAAGGCCCAAAACGAAUUGUGCGUUGGGCUGUUCAUGGCAGCUCAGUAUGAGUAAGUCUUACAAUUUGGGCCCAGUAUUUGCACAAUCUGCUUUUGCUUUAGCUCACUGUUUAGGCUUUGUUUGACAUGGCUCCAACUCUAGGUGGAGCUGCUCCACUCCAGAACUCCAGGUGGAGCCAGCUCUGGGUAGAGUUGGAGCUGUCUAACGGAGGUGUUUGGCUGGGAGGGUGUCCGUAGCUCCAGAAAAGAGGAGUUUGAGGGUAGAUUGCCAUUCUUGCCCCUGGUUCGAAUAAAUACAGUGUUCUUUAGACAAAAUGAACGACUUGAACUACUUCUCACAAAUAUGAAAUGAAAAUACAUGCAGUAAAGUCCAAAAUAAUUAAUAAUACAUUCCAAGCCAAGUCAUCUCAAGUCAUUGAACAUCAGUGUCGUUGUCAAGAUUAGCGGGUAAGACUUAGACUAGUAAAUUUCUUUUAUACGCGUAAGGCUUCGGAUGGUAACGUGGGAGACACGGGGUUUAGACUGGUUCGGGCAAGGGAACGCCCUACGUCCAGUAUCGGGAGCUGCUCGUGUUGCCCACGCGGGGUUCUGUAAUAGGGGUCACAGGAGUGCGAGAGAGGGAACCGGUCCCAAGUCUCUUGGAUGUGCCCUGACGCUCUAGUAGGGGCGCUCGUGCGUUCUGUUGUCUAGGGAGCGUUAUGGUGUCUUGAGUUGUGCGUUCAGUCUCCUCCUGUCUUAGACCCCCGGUUCCUCUUUUAUAGUGUAAGGAGGCCACCGGAGUUACAUGUGAGACCAAGCGUGGGGAGCGGUAAAAAGAUAAGCAUGGCUAGGUAAAAAGAACAAUGCGAGGGGGGAGCGAGUUCCCAGGUCGCCGGCGUCCUUGCCGGCCUUCGGCUCCUACCGGCGCGUUUGCCAGAAGAGGGUGUGGCGGAACCGCCCAACUUAAGCUGGUUUAAGUGCGCCUAAUCGCCGUUGGAAUGGCAAUUAUCCGAAACGCACCUAAAACAGCAUAAGUCCGGUAGUCCGUCGAGUGUCCCUGGGACUCCUCGAAGAAUCCACGGCGUGUCUCAUUACCAUACAUCAGGAUAAUAUCCGCGAUGGGAUAAUAUCAACAAACAUUACAUUUUUACAUACAUAGUUAAGAGGUACGAGUUAUUACAAGACAUAAGUUGAGGUAAACUUAGUGAUGCAGCGUUAGACAAACUCUAAGAUUAAACAUAAAUAGUUCAGGAGAAGAUGUGUCGAUAAAUGUUUUCUAGAGUAUUGGUGAGACUCAGGUCAAUACUCUAGGUCUUCGGGGUCUCCUCCUCGGUAGUCUCCUGUGGAGCUUCUGAAAGAUAACCACAAGGGGAAAACUCUGAGUACGGGGUACUCAGCAAGUCUUACCCGACUAACCAAUAUAAUAGUUUUUCUUUGGAAUGCAUGUCAGCUUUUGGGUGUGCUUGGUUGACACAAUUUUUCCGAAAAAGCUUACUACGAGUGAGGCCUUAGUUUUAUCUUUUAUUUUAGUUAAGUCGUUACCUAAUCAUUCUAGAUGAUAACAAAAGUAAAACAAUCAUAGCUGUUAAAUCAUACAGUACUUGGCAACAGGAGAUUUUAUAUCACAUGAGUUUAUACUACGAUGCUCAACAGUGAUCAAGUGCAUUCAUAACCGAGAAUUGCGGCGAUCCGGAUCUAAUUACAUCCUGCAGGAGAGUACCCCGAUCACCAGCAUUAUACGACUGUCCAGGUCGUACUAACAACCUCUCGAUUAGUAAAGUCAAUGAUUAGGAAUACAACUACCCGGACCCAGGGAUGCACCCCCACAUGGGACCCCACGUCUGGCCUGAUCUCCAUGUGAGUUUCAGGCUACACCCCUGCCAAUCUCCAGCACGUCAAGCGCGGGUACGAAGCAUUCCUGAUCAUAGAAUUUACUAACCUACUGGGCUUUACUGGUCCCAUACCCAGUAAGUGAUCAGAUGUUUAUCACUUGAUCAGCGGUUAAGACACGAAUCGGGCCUUAACCAGAUUAAUCUAGCAGACAGAACUACAUCUCUAGCUUCUGUCUGUUUUUAUAUUCCAGACUAUCCUUCAUAAGCAACAUGUAUGACUUAAGAGUUUUCCUUAAGGUUGGUAAACCAAUCAUGUAAGCAAGUAAGCAAUUCUAGACUUGGGUAGUUUCUAGGAUUCGAACAAGUGGCAAAGAUGUCCUUAAAUCAAGGCAGGAUCAUACACAAACAUAGGUUUCAUUCAACUCCUAGACUUAGUGCAUGCAAUAAACAAAUAACCUAUAACUAGUCACAUGAAAUAACGACUCCAAAAUAGAUAGGUAUAAAUGCACCGGGGCUUGCCUUGAUCGUUAAAAAGAUUAGUAGAAGCCGACGAAUUUGCUUCACAGGGAACAAAUUCAAACACUUCGUCGGACUCCAAGGGUCCUUCUGAAAAUUCCCAGUAAUCCUCUUCUGGUGCUUCUAGAUCUACGGCACAACAUAUGCAGGGGUUAGAAUGCAAACUUUUUAAAUAACAGACUAUACAACUUUCCUUCAUGAUAAAGUUGCAAGCCAAUAAGGACUAUACGACUUAUCAUGAUAAAGUUGUAAGUCGACACACAAAAAUCUAAAAAGAUUAACCUAUAUUUUUAUUUUUCUCAUUUAACCCUUCCUAUAGCUUUUUCUUUUAAUUUUAGAAAAAAGUGGUAAAUAUCUUCUAACUUGCAAAUCUAAUUUCUUAUGGGUUAAGAAUUAUUUGUGAUUGAUAAAGCAUUAUUCAUAUUUUAUACAUUUUAUAAAUAUUAAGUAUUUAUUUAAUUACCUUAAAAGGAAGGCAUUAAAUAAAUACCCAAAUUUUUAUUAUUUUCCUAGGGUGUAAAAAUUUUAAUGCAUAAAGGAAAAUAAAAUAAGCCUAACAAAAUUGGUUUCACUAAUUUUGGACACUCCUACAAAUUUAUGUGAUUAAAAUGGUGUAAAACGAAUUUAAACGGAUUAAAAUACUAAAGGAAACCUAAUUUUUCCCGAAAAUCACCCGAGAAACUUUUCUUACUCACCCACGCUUUACCCUCUCCCACAAACCACUGGACCCCACGGCGCGGACCCCACCUUCCUAUUCCUUUCUACCCGCCGGCCCUAUCCCUCUCCCCGACGGGCUCCGUGGGCCGGUUUCUCCUUUCUUCUUUACUUUGCAACCCAGUAGCAGCCCACUGACCUACUCUUUCUUUUUCUUCUUUUCCCGCGGGCCGGCCUGCUACUGCUCUGGGCCUCCGGCCUCUUCUCCUUUUCCUGGCCGACUCGCGCGCUAACUCCCUAGGCCUCCGCGACGCUGGCCCGUGAACGGCUCCGGCCUCCUUUUCUUUUUUGGCCGAACUGCGCGCGCGUUACUGGGCCUUAUGACCGCGGCCCAGCAACCGGCUGCACCGCUUCGGCCUUCUGCUCCUCCCCCCUUCUCUCUGUCGCGCGGGCCCGAGCGCCCAGGCUCUUCUCCUUCCUCCCGCCAAAAGCGUCCGUGACAGGGGGCGACGCGGCUCGCCGGCUGGCGCCCUCCCGGCGGCGGAACUAGGUUGCGACCCCAACCUUAGACCUACACGACCUCGUGCGCGGCAACAGCUCCCCGGGAGAUGGCCGGAGCCAUCCCCUCCACGGCGACGGGCGGCGACUCCCUCGACCGGCCGUGGCUACUCGCGACUACGGCAUAUCCAACUCAAACAACUAACUCUACCCCAUCCUAGGACCCUAAGGACUUAACUACGACUACUCAAGAAGGAAGAAAGGCAGCGCAAGGUGGUUCUCACCGUGAGCGGGCGGCGCGACGGCGGCGGACAGAAGCGGCGGUGAGCCCGGCUAUCCCGGCAAGGAUGUGGGACAACGACUGGCUCAGGGUGUAGCUGGGGUGUCUGUGGAGGAGUGGGCAAGAGGAAUCGACGGAAGACGAGUUGUGGCGGCGGAAUUUUGCUUGGCGGUGAAGCUUGACAGAGGGGAGCGGGCGGCGGUAAAAAGGGGAGGCAGAGAAACGGUGGCGCGGGAACAGUAAACAUUCAAGGGUUUCACCGCGCGCAUGGCUGCCACCGUGGUCUACCCCUAGGCUUGCGUGGUGAGGAGGUGGCCUAGCUAGUCGUGCUGGCGGACGACCGACGACGGCGGCGGCGACACGUCUGGGUGCUCUGUCACCGCUCCUCCCGCCCGUGAUCUUCAGAGCCAAGUCGUGGUUGAUCUUUGAUCCAACGGCACACCGAUGCUCAAAGAAAGUUACAGAUAAACUCGAAUUCUCCAUCUUUUGUUUUGGCUCCAUCCCGAGAUAAUCAUCAAACCAGUGGAAAUUUGGAGAUGUUGCUCGAGUUGGUUCUGAAAUCGACUGAAUCAAAGGUUCAGUUCGUCAGUUAUCGACAGUAGUGUCGAUCUCACUUGUCAAUCCAAUUCAGUGGCCUAAACCUUGUUUUUCCAAUCCAACUUCUACCCAAACAUGUUCUACUAUGUCCCAAUGUUCCAUUUUGCUCAUGAACAAUUACCUUUCUUGAUCUACUUUGCUCUGAAUUUGAGCUCCAAGUCAAUGCCUGGCUGUCAUUCAGACUUAGCAAAAAUUCAGAGUUUCAGUCAACUUAUGGUUUUGUGCUGACUUUGGGCUGGAAUUUGACUCCCUUCCUGUUACUGAUCCUGGCCAACAAUACCCAGAUCUUGUAGUCCAAAGUUCACAUUUCAAUAUGGUAUAGUUGUCCUGAUGCAUUUAUUUGGAAUUUUCUCCAGAAAUCAAUUUCCAAAAUAGACUCUAAAACUGUUUUUCUGGAACUCUAUUUUCGGACGAUGAACAGUACACGUCCCUUUUCUUUUCCUUUCUCUGAUUCUUUUGAGAUAAUUUGCACUGAUUUGGUUCCAACUUUUUGAUCCCUUGAUUCUAAAUACUCUUAUACUUGUAUUCCACAUAUUUGACAAAUUUUGCUGAAUUUCAAAUUUGAAAUUCAAAUUUUGGUCAAAAUUUGGCCGAAUUUGAUCUUUUUGCCAAUUGUUUUUCUUUUUCUUUUGGAUUUCUUUCCAAUUUCCCAUAGUUACUUUGAUAUUGCAAAUGGCAACUAUUACAGAGGGUGGCCGCCGCUACUUCCUGUCGAUGGCUUCCUCGGCGACUGUAGCCGCCGGACGUGAUGAUGGCGUUUCGUCGUGACCCCCGUGUCCGUUGGGGGAGGCGGCGGAUAUUGCCGUCGUGCUGAUGGCCUGCGGAGAGCGGACGUUGCAUCUCUGCCGCCGGGCGCGUGGGGCACGAGGACGGGUGAGGCUUCCUCCUGCCUUGGGCGGUGCAGACCAUGAGUGCCCAAUGGCCAAUCGGAGAGGGUCGCAGCUACUGUAGCAAGUACUGUGCGGCUGCGCAUGGGUACUUGCAACGGGUUACGUGGGGGCGUGGAGAUCCUUCUUUCUGACAGCUUUGCGGUGCAUUUAUGGUUGAAUUGACAGGGGGACCCACGAGAUCCGCGCCCAAGGCGGAUACUUGUCUAGUGGGCCUGGGUCAGCCCGACCUCCUAUGCUUGGGGUCGGGCAAAGCGGAGGCCUGCGGCGGGAGGUCGGACGCUCCCGACCCCGGACCUGCGGUCGGGCGAGGCGGAGCUUGGUCUCACGGGGGUCGGGGAUGCCUGACCCCAGGAUACCGGGCCGGGCAAGGCAAAGCGCGAUUUUCGUCGCCGUGUUGGGCCGACGGCAGUCGUUAUUCCCUUAGGCGGGCCUAGGCCUUCGUGUCUUUGUUGUUUCCAUGGGCUUCGAAGAGUCAUUAAUAUUUCCCCCCGACAGUAGCUCCCGAGCCUGUGCUGGAGCGGGGAUGCUCCUCCAGAGGCUGUUGUCAUCGCUCGCGAGGAGUCUUCACGUUGAUCCAGGACGGGAGGUGUCGCUUGCACGUUUUGACUGAGGGGGCUGACCAGGAAACGUGUUUUUGUGAGCGACCCGGAGUGGGGGGAUUCCUGGUCGUUCCCUUCUGUCUGAGAGUCUUUAAGUCGAGGCCACCCGUGUGGCCUUUGGUGCGAGGCCAGCCCUCGAGCCCUCGCGCGUUGCAGGGAACCGGUCGGGAGACUGGGUCGACUUUUGUACGUUACCCCUCAAGCGUUCGUUCGCUGGGACGGAGGGGAUGAGCCGUGCCACGCUAUCCUUGUUGGACGAACCGUGGUGCUCAUUGAGCUACUGACGGGCAAGUUCGAGUGGGGUCGCGGUCCCCGUUCGGGGGGGUUCGGCUUGGGCCAAGCUGGUGGCGUACCCCAGGCUCCGAUCGGCCAGUUCAUAUAGUUCCCGAAUCGGUUCGGUUGGAUCCGGGGGCUCGUUGCCUUUCUUUAGGGAAAAACCAUGAACUUUGAUGCCGGUUCAGACUCGAACGUGAGAUUGAGACGCCCUGGGCUAUUGCGUGCCUGGGUGAUGGUCACUUGCAGGCCCGUCUCCUCUCACCCCUCACUCGGGGGCAUCCUGGAGCGGUUGUCGAACCCAUGGUGGGCCAACCUUCGAACUCCUGGAUCGUAAUGGGCUGUAGGGGCGUUUUCAGCCCCGUAUCCCUUUCUUACCUUUUGGUGGGCCUUGGGCCGGACAUGGAGGGAGGCCACGUCUUGGUUCGGACGUGGAGGGUGCAGCACCUUGGGCCGGACGUGGGGGACGUUGUGCGUGCAUCCUUGGGAAGUGAAGCAGUGGAGGGCGCCGACCUGUGAAUCGAGGGAGGAGGGGAUGUUCCUGCUACCGGUCGUGCGCACGGUUUUCGAAAAAGAAGCGGGCGUGGCGGAGUGUACCUGGCGCCGCAUUUAUGGUGACGGGGGCGUCUGUUCUGCUUCUCCCACGCUUUCCCUAUAAAAUGAAAGUUUCACCUCGCUGGUUCCGCUCGCCGUCUGCCUUCAAGCUUUUUCACUUCCUCUCGCGCCCUUAGCUUUCCUGCGUCCGCUUCAUCUUCUUCCGCCCAGCGCCGCACCCUUUCUCCCCAUCCCCCGUUGAGCUCCUCUCCUUCCGGCGAUGGGAUCCUGGGCGAUUUCCCACUUCAGCCUCUCGCGCACCGAAGGCCUAACGAGGAAGGGCCUCCUCUGCGAGAGGACGGAGGCGGGUGAGUGGGAGCUUCCGGGAGCAGAGCAGGCGCCGGCGCCGCCUGCCGGCUAUAUUGUCUCCUUCGCCCACUUCCAGAGAGGGGGUUCGCGACUCCGCCGAGCCUCUUCUUCCGCGGGCUCCUGCACUAUUAUGGGCUUGAGCUGCAGCAUCUCAACCCCAACAGGAUCCAGCACAUUGCGACAUUCGUCGCGCGGUGCGAGGGGUUCCUGGGCAUCGAGCCCAACUUCUCGCUGUGGAAGUAUUUUUUCACGGUCAGCCUGUACCAGAAGGCGGAGAAGAAGGGGAGCCAGCAGCGGUCGCCCCCGGUGCCGAUAGAGUGCACCGGAAUCCACCUCCGCCACACCCGCACCAAGGAGUACAUGGUGAUGAAGACCGCGGCGUCCCACAAGGGGUGGCACCAGCAGUGGUUCUACGUGAAGAACUACUCGAACUCCGCCCUACCGGAGUUCACUGGCCGCACUAUCGAGGCGGCGCCGGAGGUGUGGGCGUACGACCCGAUCGACAAGGAGAAGAAGCGGAUCCAUGGCCUGCUGCAGGCGAUCGAGCACCUGAAGGGGAGGGGGUUGACCGGCGCCGGGGUCAUCGGGGCGUACCACGCCCGGCGGGUGGUGUCGCUGAUGCUCCGGGUCCGCUCGCUCGGCGACAUGACUCCGGGCGCGCCGACCGAGGGCACCGUCCUUGCGAUGGGUGCGCUCGCCACCUCCGAGAUCCGGUAGCGGAUUCGGGAGGUGCUGGAGGAUAAGGACGCUGACUACCCAGUCCCCAGGCACCCUACGAUGCGCCCGGACGAGAACUUCAUCGACCUGGUAAAGAUCUUGUGUGCAAACCUUCUUUUUUCGUGUUUCCUGGUUCGCUGCUCUGACGCGGGGCUCUUUUGCGCUUGUAGGGUAGCCUAACCCGGGUCGUGGACUUGCGCCUGCUGGUGCCGGAGGACGCCGAGCGGUGGCUGCAGAACCGUCUCCUUGAUGAGAGGCAGAAGCGCCGCAAGGACAAGGAGAUGGCGAAGAAGAAGAAGAGGGCCGCCAAGGAGUUCCAGCAACGGCGACAAGGAUAGGUCGUGUCAGACGACGACGAUGACGACAACGACGUUGACGACGACGAGGAGGAAGAGGAGGAGGAUGACGAGGAGGAGGAGGAGCUCACCCUCUCCCCACGGUCGGGUGCACUCGUUAUUCGGGAGACGCGCUCCCAAACGGCCGCGAGGGAUGAAGCGGGCGGACCGUCCGCCCGGGACUUGGUCCCGCAAAGCUCUGGGGCCGUGCCCCAGGGGUCGGCACGGAGCGCCCCGCAGGGGUCGACGCGGAGCGUCCCCCGGGGGUGUAUGGAGCCCACCCCCAUCCCUAUGCCGGCAUCCCAGGCGCAGAGGAGCAGCGACAAGCGGCCGCUGCCGGACGCCCCGGGGUCGGCGUCCGGCUUGGAGGCGAAGCGCGCACGCCGUCCUUGUGCUGGGGCAACGUAAGUUGAAUUUCCUUGCAAACCUCGUUCCUUUCCAUGCAUUGUAUUCGUUUUCGCUGAUGUUUGUUGAUUGUUUUUGAAGCGCCGCCCCUCAAGGUCUCGUCCCGCAGCUGGCGCCGAAGAAGGCACUGCGGGUGUUGUCCGCCCCUACGGGGCGCACCGCUGCCCCGCCCGCGGUGAGCGGCAGGGUCCCUGGUGAGGUCGCGGGUUGCACCGCGGAGGUGGCCCCCGUGGCAGCGACCGGUUGAGUGGUGCCGCCACCGGGCACGGGAGGGGGUGAGGACCCCGCUCCACCUUCCACUUCUUUGGCUGACCCCGCGGUGCAGAGUAUCUUUCCCAGGGGCCCUAAGGCCGGGGAGGUGAUCGACCUUGACACCGAUGAGGCGGAGGAACGGCGGCGGGGGAGACGGGGACUGAUGUCCUAGCGGCCACGAUGGGGAUGGCGGCGGCAAAGGAGGAAGAAGAGCCUGCCCCCGCGGCCACGGCGGGGACAGCGGCAGCGGGGGAAACUGGGACACCUGCCCCGGCGGCUGCGAUAGAGGAGGCGGUGGCGAUGGAGACGGGGACGUCCGCCCGGGGAGCCUCAGCGGAGGUGGCAUCGGCGGUGGAGGCGGAGGUGCCUGCUCUAGAGGCCUCGACGGGGGCGGGGACGCCUGUCCCGACGGAGGACGAGGCGGCCACAGGGAUGCUCGCUCCGGCGCCCGCGUCGGAGGUGGUGGCGCCACUUGGCAGGCCCGCGACGGCCUCGACGGAAGCAGGGGGGUGUGCCCCGGGACCGUGGGUGAGCUCGGCGGCUUCCGGGAUGGUUGAGCCUGUGUUGACGGCGGUGUCGAGGUCGGCUUCCGCCUCUACCUCGGCCACUCCCGUUCCCAGGGCGUGGACGGGGUCCGUCUUGCGUUGGUCGUCCCGUGACGACCCACAGAGGCCCCUCUUCACAUGUGAUGAUGCCACGGAAUGGGGCAAGUGGCAGGCGAUGUAGGGCGGCCUCGCUAACGCCCGCGUAGCUCUGUCCUCGGCGUUGGGGCAGUUGGACGGCGUCGUCCUCCCUGGUGGCCAGAGAUGGUACCUUCUGCAUUGGUGGCUAUGUCCUCCCCCUCGUUUUACCCCUGAUGUCGUAUUGUUUUGUAGGCUCUCCAAGAAUGCAGUCGGGGAAAAUCCGAUUACCUUCGGCUGGAGCGGGGGCUCUGGGAGUGCUUAAACUUGGAGAGACAGCGGACCGGGGAGCUAUCCAUGCAAGUUGCGGCCGCCCAGCAGGUCAUCGAUGAUCUGCGGAGGUACGAGCAGGCGGCGUAGGAGGAUGUGCGGCGGGUGGAGGCCAAGCUCCAGGUCAUCGCCGAGAGGGCCCGCUGCGACCGCGAGGAGUUCCAGGCCGCUGCCGAAAAGGCCCGCCACAACGUCGAGGAGCUCACAUGGCUGAAGGGGGAGCAUGAAGCCCUUUAAAAGACCGUCGAGCGCAAAAGGCUUGGCAGGACCGGGACGCCGAGAAGGUCCGGAAGGAGGAGGCCGAGAAGGCGGCGGCCGACCUUGGGGUGGAGGUCGGUCAGCUUCAAGCGCAAGGGCGGGAGCUUCAGGGCCUCCGUGGCCCAGGGGCUCGACCGGGAGCGCCAGCUGAAGGCCCAGUCCGAGGGUAAGACUCUGUUCAUUUCCUUGUCUUUGUGAUGUUGCGGUGAUUUUCGAUUUAGCGGGUUCUUUUGGGUGAUCCUUGCAGGCGAGCUCACCCGGCUGAGGGAGGUGUUCGACGCGGAGCGCACUGAGCAUGGCAACCUGCGGGAUGCUGUUCGCGUCGUCUGUGACAGCCUCAACGUGGUCCAGGAGGAGGGGACGAGCUCGCUGGCGACUCAUGUCCUUGGGACCUACUGCCGAGCCUGCGGGAUCACCCUGGAGGCGCUCCACACCGGCGUGAGGCGAGCCUUCGGGGUCUUCGGCUCCCACUACUCCGGCAUUAACUUCGUCGAGAUGAGCGGGGGGUACGCCGCCGGCUACUCCGAGGCUGAGCUGGACAAGAUUGACGCGUCAGUGCUCAACCCGGCGGAGGCUUUGGCGAAGCUCCUGGAGGACGAAGCCGUCCCUCCCAAAGAUCCUCGGUCGAGUUAACUGUAUCGGGCUGUGCCGAAGAUGUAAAUACGUUAGUUUCAGACUCGUUUUGUAAUGGCCAUAGAGGCUUUUCUAAAAAUUGUCGUGAGAAAGUUUUCGAUCCUCUUUCUUGUUUUUCAGACUUGGAAAGUUUAGAGCACGUCGUUGGUUGUGUCAGUAAGCUUUGGUGAGCGAGGGCACCGUAGCUGCUGGGGCGUAGGUAUUUUCAUAGUCCGAUCAAUCUUGCCUGAACACCGUCCAUGUGCUUUUUCCUUUUCAUGCCCAAAAGUUCAGAAAGAGGGUCGGCUCGGAAAGAAAAAAGCGUUUUGAGAGGGUGUCAAGGGGCCUAGGCCGGAGCCCCUGAUAGCCCCCGAGGGAUAUGCGACCCUGAGGCAGAGCCAGGGUCGGAUAUCCCUGAGUUCGAACUGAAACUUGAAUGGGACCGACUCAAAAUUCUUUUUUCCGUAAAAAUUUUUAAAUGUACAGAAAUGUCUAUGUAUAGAACUUGGAAGUGAAAUCUAGGGGUAGAAACGCCUUAGUUGUUCUAUGUUCCAAGCGUUGCUGAAGACUUGUCCAUCAGGGGUCGCCAGCUUGUAGGUGCCUGGCCGCAGUACCUGCGUGACAAUGAAGGGACCUUCCCAUGGAGGGGUCUGCUUGUGCCGACCCCUGUUAUCCUGGAUGAGACGGAGCACCAGGUCGCCAACGUUGAAGGCUCGGCCUUGCACCUUGCGGCUGUGGUAGCGUCGUAAGGCCUGUUGGUACUUGGCCGAGUGCAGCAGGGCCACAUCGCGCGCCUCAUCGAGCUGAUCUUGUGCGUCUUCGAGCGAUGCCUGGUUCCCUUGUUCGUCAAAUGCCUUGACCCUCGACGAUCCGUACUCCAAGUCGGUGGGCAGGAUGGCCUCAGACCCGUAGACCAUGAAGAACGGGGUGAAGCCAGUCGCACGACUGGGGGUUGUCCUCAGACUCCAAAGGACUGCGGGGAGGUCCGCGACCCACCGUCUGCCGAACUUUUUGAGGCGGUCGAAGAUCCGUGGCUUGAGACCCUGGAGUAUCAUGCCGUUGGCUCGUUCGACCUGCCCAUUCGUCCGGGGAUGUGCCAUGGCCGACCAGUCCACUCGGAUGUGGUGGUCGUCGCAGAACUGGAGGAACUUCUUUCCGGUUAACUGUGUGCCGUUGUCCAUGAUGAUGGAGUUGGGGAUCCUGAAGCGAUGGAUGAUGUUGGUGAAGAAUUGUACCACCUGCUCGGACUUGAUCUGCGCAACCGGUCAUGCUUCGAUCCACUUGGAGAACUUGUCGACGGCGACAAGCAGGUGGGUGAAGUCCCCGAGCGCUUUCUUAAAGGGCCCAACGAGAUCCAGCCCCCAGACCGUGAAGGGCCACUUGAUGGGGAUGGUCUAGAGUGCCUGCGCGGGCAGAUGGGUUUGGCGCGCGAAGAACUGGCACCCUUUGUAGGUGCGAACCACGUGGGUGGCAUCGGCGAUCGCUGUCGGCCAGUAGAAACCUUGCCGGAAGGCGUGGCCCACGAGGGUUCUUGGCGCGGCGUGAUGGCCGCAGGCUCUGGCGUGGAUGUCCUGAAUUAGCGCCUUUCCCUACUCGAUCGGGAUGCAGCGCUGGAGGAUGCCGGUGUGGCUUCUCUUGUAGAGCUCUUGGUCGAUAAUGACGGAGGAUUUGGCGCGACGCGCAAUCCUGCGUGCCUCCGUUUUGUUCGCCGGGAGCAUGUCACGGGCGAGGUAGUCGAGGUACGGGGCUCUCCAAUCGGGCAGGGGGUCGGCCCCCGCUGCGGGGUCUGCCACGAUUUCCAUGACCGUGGGGUCGGCGGGGUCGAGUUCCGAGUCUGAGACAGGUGGCGCGUUGCCGACCUCUCCUGGGUCGGGGCCCAAAUCCGGAGCUGGUGGCGCGUCGCCGACCCUCUCCGGUUCUUGGCAACGGACUGAGGGUUUGAACUGGUCGCUGACGAAGACACCGUCGGGCACCGGCUUUCGGCCGGACGCUGCCUUUGCCAGCUCGUCGGCUGCCUCGUUGAAACGCCUUGCGACAUCGUUGAGCUCCAUCCCGUCGAACUUGUCUUCAAGCUUGCGAACUUCGUUGCAGUAGGCUGCCAUCUUGGGGUCGUGGCAGCUCCACUCCUUCAUGACUUGUUUGACGACUAGCUGAGAGUCGCCCCGGACGUCUAGCCGAUGGAUGCCCAGCUCGAUGGCGAUGCGAAGCCAUUGAGGAGGACCUCAUACUCGGUGACAUUAUUGGACGCAGGGAAGUGGAGGCGGAUCAUGUACCUGAUGCGCACGCCUAGAGGAGAGACGAAGACGAGGCGUGCUCCGGCGCGGGCCCUCAUCAACGAUCCGUCGAAGUACAUUGUCCAGUACUCCUGUGUUUCUCCGGCACCGAUGGUGUUAGGAUCUCCGUCCACUUCGCCACAAAAUUGGCGAGUACCUGGGACUUGAUGGCGGUACGGGGGGCAUAGGUGAUGCCCUGGUCCGUGGCGUCCUGGUUCCGGAUCACUUUGCCGAGUGGGAACGACGAAACAACCGUUAACGGAUGAGAGGUGAAGUAGUGGCGCAGCUUCCUCUUCGUGGUGAGGAUGGCGUAGAUGAGCUUCUAGAUCUGCGGGUAGCGCGCCUUGGACUCGGACAGGACUUCGCUGACAAAAUACACCGGGCGUUGCACCUUGAGGGCGUGUCCCUCCUCUUCUCGCUCCACCACUAGGGUCGCGCUAACCACCUGGGUAGUCGCCGCUAUGUAGAGCAGGAGGGGCUCGCCAUCGGUCGGCGGGACUAGGAUUGGGGCCUUCGUCAAAAGAUCCUUGAGCCGGUCAAGCGCCUCCUGGGCCUCAACGGUCCAUUCGAAGCGAUCAGUCUUCUUUAGGAGUCAAUAGAGGGGGAGUCCUCGUUUGCCAAGGCGUGAGAUGAAGCGGCUCAGAGCCGCCAAGCAUCCCGUGACGCGCUGGACUCCUUUCAUAUUUUGGAUCGGCCCCAUGUCGCUAAUGGCCGCUAUCUUCUCUGGAUUGGCCUCGAUGCCGCGCACGGAGAUGAUAAAGCCUAGCAGCAUGCCCCUUGGGACCCUGAAAACGCAUUUUUCGGGAUUGAGCUUAAUAUGCUUGUCCCUCAGCCUUUCGAAGGCUAGUUCGAGGUCGGGGAUGAGCUGGUCGACCUUUAUUGAUUUGACUACGAUGUCGUCGACGUAAGCCUCAACGGUUCGCCCGAUGAGGUCCCCGAAACACUUCAGCAUGCAUCGCUGGAACGUAGCCCCCGCAUUUUUGAGGCCGAAUGGCAUCUUGACGUAGCAGUAGGGUCCAAAGGGGGUGAUGAAAGAGGUAGCCAGCUGGUCGGAUUCUUUCAUCGUGAUCUGAUGGUAGCCAGAAUACGUGUCAAGGAAGCUGAGGGUUUCGCACCCAGCGGUUGAGUCGACUAUCUGAUCUAUGCAUGGCAAAGGAAACAGAUCCUUUGGGCACACCUUGUUGAGACCAGUAUAGUCAACACACAUCCUCCAUUUCCCAUUCUUUUUUUGCACAAGAACAGGAUUAGCUAGCCACUCAGGGUGGUACACUUCCUUGAUGAAUCCGGCCGCUAAAAGCUUCUGGAGCUCCUCGCCGAUGGCCUUGCGCCUCUCCUCGUCGAAGCGGCGCAGACCUUGCUUUACUGGCUUGGAGCCAGCCUUGAUGUUCAAGGAGUGCUCGGCGACUUCUCUCAGAAUGCCGGGCAUAUCCAAGGGCUUCCACGCGAAAACGUCGUUGUUCACGUGGAGGAAGUCGACAAGCGCGCUUUCCUAUUUGGGAGAUAGGGUAGCGCCAAUCCGCACGGUCCGGCCGUCGAAGCUGCUGGGGUCGAGGAGGACCUCCUUGACACCUUCGGUGGCUUCGAAGGAGGUGGCCGACUGCUUGGAGUCGGGCUGGUCCUCAGUGCCCUCCGCGAGCUGGACCGCCAACUCUUCUGUGAAGGUAAUGGCUGCAGCGUACUCGCAGCAUUCUAUGUCGCACUCGUACGCCUUCUGGAAAGACGUGCUGACGGUGAUGACCCCGUUGGGCCCCGACAGCUUGAGCAUGAGGUAGGUGUAGUUGGGGAUGGCCAUGAACUUGGCGUAGCAUGGCCGCCCCAAGAUGGCGUGGUAGGUUCCACGGAAUCCUACGACCUCAAAGGUUAGGACCUCCUUCCUGUAGUUGGAAGGGGUCCUGAAAGUGACGGGCAAGUCGAUCUGCCCGAGAGGCAUUGCCUGUUUCCCUGGCACGACGCCGUGGAAUGGCGCCUUGCUGGGGCGGAGGUGGGAGUGGUCAAUCCCCAUGGCGUCGAGGGUCUCGGCGUAGAGGAUGUUGAGGCCGCUGCCUCCAUCCAUGAGCACCUUGGUGAGGCGCGUCGUGCCGAUGAUAGGGUCGACGACGAGAGGGUAGCGCCCCGGAUGCCGGACGCGUCCCGGAUGGUCAGACCGGUCGAAGGUGAUGGCGGACCCCGACCAGUCGAGGAAGGCCGGUGUCGCAGGCUUGGCCGCGUAGAGUUCGCGGCGCUCCAGCUUCUAACGGCGCUUGGAGUCGUACGCCGCCGGGCCGCCGAAGAUCAUGAAGCAGCCGUCCACCUUGGGGAAGCCCUCCUCUUCCUUCUCCUCGUCGUCCUUCUUCUCCUCGUCAGGCUUCUGUCUCUGGUCGCCUUUCACCGGGUUGCCUACGAAGUACCUCUUCAUGAGGUUGCAGUCCUUGUAGGCGUGCUUCACGGGGAACUCAUGGUUCGGGCACGGUCCCUCGAGCGGCUUGUCGAAGAAGCCGGGCGUGCCCUCUAGGGGCAGUUGUCCUCGCUUGCGCUCAACAGCAGCCACGAGGGGAGCCUCGCGCCGCGGCUUGCUUUUCUUCUUCUUCUGCUGGCGGUUGGAGGUGCCCUCGUCAGCAUCCUCCUCCCGCUUUGCCUUGCCCUUGGAGUGGUCGAAGAUUGCUCCAACGGCCUCUUCACCUGAGGCGUAGCUGGUGGCGAUAUUGAGGAGCUCCUCCGUGGUCCGCGGGCCUCGGCGCCCUAGCUCGUGGACGAGGGGCCGGCAGGAGGUUCCUGCUAGGAAGGCCCCUAUGACAUCGGCGUCCGUGACGUUGGAGAGCUCGGUGCACUUCCUGGAGAAGCAUCGGAUGUAGUCCCAGAGGGACUCGUCUGAUCCCUGGCGGCAGCUCCGGAGAUCCUAGGAGUUGCCGGGGCACGUGUACGUGCCCUGGAAGUUUCCCACGAAUAUUUCCUUCAGGUUGUUCCAGCUGCGGAUCCAACCUGAAGGGAUGUGUUCCAGCCAGGCUCGCGCCGAGUCGGCCAAAAAGAGCGGGAGGUUGCGGAUGAUGAACAGGUCAUCGUCCGUCCCACCAGCCUGACAUGCAAGCCGGUAAUCGUUGAGCCAUACCCCGGGGUUCGUCUCCCCCGAGUAUUUGGCCACAUUUGUUGGUUGCCUGAAGCGCGGCGGAAACGGCGCAUUCAGGAUACGCGCGGAGAAGGGCUGGGGCCCCACCGGGUCGGGGCUCGGGCUGCGGUCCUCUUCGCUGUCGUAGCGCCCGCCGCGGUGGAUGUGGUAGCCGCGAUCUACCCCUUCCUCCAUGUCCGCGCGGGAGCGCCUCCGCGCGUCCAGGGUGUCGUGAGCGUCGCGGACAGAGCCGAUGCGUCGGUUAACGGACCGAGCCCCGCCUCCUGCUGGCGGUGGUGUCCGCCGAGCGGGCGCGUCUUGGUUUGCCCUAGGAGGAGGCUGGUGAACAGACUCCCCUCGCCUCUCCGGGGGCGCGUCGGGUGCCGUCCUACUGGCGUUUUGCCCGUGUCGCCGGGACGCGGAGCUUCCCACCUGCUGGACGGCGGCGCACUCGAGCAGGUUGCGCACCUCUUGGCGCGCCUGACGCUCCUCAGGCAUCGCCGGUUCGGGGAGUCGCUGGAGUAGGGCUGCUGCGGCAGCGAUGUUCUCGCUGGCGCAACCGAAGAGCUGAGGGUGUUCUUUGUCCGCGUAGAUGCGUUGCUGGACAUCGCGCGCCCAUUGUCGCGCUCCGCCUUCGUUGCGGGGGCGCUCGACCUCCUGGCAGGACGCCGCGCGCGCCUCCGACUGCCGAGGUUGCACCGGGGCCUUGCUAAGGGCCCCAGUCAUAGCCGCGGCGCACGGUGGGGGAGUCCUCUGCCUCCCUUCGGCGCCGUCGUCGUUGGACCCCUCGGAGUGCACGUCGGCCAUGAAGCACUCGCGCGAGGGGUGGUGGCUCCCGUUGUCGGAGCCGGCAUCGGAAAUUGUCCUUACCACGCCUGCGAGCUGGUUGCUCAUGGGCGACACGAUCGUGGACCGCGUCAGGAGGCGACCAUAGGUCACCGCGAUAUUGCGCAGCCCGAAGAGCCACCCCCCUGAGGAAGGCCCUCCAGCGCGCGCCUGGCCGCUCGCCGCUGUCCCGGCGGCGGAGCUGGGGAUGGCGGUGAGCGGGCAAGAUGAGGAGAGGGAUCAGCUCGAUCCCCUCCCCGGUGGCGAGGAAGUCCAGACUCCCGAAGCAGAUCAGGGAGCCCGAAGCGAAGCUGGCAUCACGGCUAGCCAUCGGAAGCCGGAGAUGUACGCGCAAAGGUCCCCUACCUAGCGCGCGAACUGUCUUUGUCAAGAUUAGCGGGUCAAGACUUAGACUAGUAAAUUUCUUUUAUGCGCGUAAGGCUUCGGAUGGUGGCGUCGGAGACACGGGGUUUAGACUGGUUCGGGCAAGGGAACGCCCUACGUCCAGUAUCGGGAGCUGCUCGUGUUGCCCACGCGGGGUUCUGUAGUAGGGGUCACAGGAGUGCGAGAGAGGGAACUGGUCCCAAGUCUCUUGGAUGUGCCCUGACGCUCUAGCAGGGGUGCUCGUGCGUUCUGUUGUCUAUGGAGCAUUAUGGUGUCUUGAGUUGUGCGUUCAGCCUCCUCCUGUCUCAGACCCCCGGUUCCUCUUUUAUAGUGUAAGGAGGCCACCGGAGUUACAUGUGAGACCAAGCGUGGGGAGCGGUAAAAAGAUAAGCAUGGCUAGGUAAAAAGAACAAUGCGAGGGGGGGAGCGAGUUCCCAGGUCGCCGACGUCCUCGCCGGCCUUCGGCUCCUACCAGCGCGUUUGUCGGAAGAGGGUGGCGACCGCUGCUUCCUGUCGAUGGCUUCCUCGGUGACUGUAGCCACCGGACGUGAUGAUGGCGUUUCGUCAUGACCCCCAGGUCCGUUUGGGGAGGUGGCAGAUCUUGCCGUCCUGCUGACGGCCUGUGGAGAGCGGACGUUGCAUCUCUGCCGCUGGGCGCGCGGGGCACGAGGGCGGGUGAGGCUUCCUCCUGCCUUGGGCGGUGCAGACCAUGAGUGCCCUGUGGCCAAUCGGAGAGGGUCGCAGCUACUGUAGCAAGUACUGUGCGGCUGCGCAUGGGUACUUGCAACGGGUUGUGUGGGGGCGUGGAGAUCCUUCUUUCUGACAGCUUUGCGGCGCGUUUAUGGUGGAAUCGAUAGGGGGACCCAGGAGAUCCGCGCCCGAGGCGGAUACUUGUCUGGUGGGCCUUGGUCAACCCGACCUCCUAUGCUUGGGGUCGGGCGAAGCGGAGGCCUGCAGCGGGGGGUCAGACGCUCCCGACCCCGGACCUGCGGUCGGGCGAGGAGGAGCUUGGUCUCACGUGGGUCGGGGAUGCCGGACCCCAAGAUACCGGGUCGGGCGAGGCGAACUGCGAUUCUCAUUCCCUGUGUUGGGCCAACGGGAGGGGUAACAGGAGGGGUCGGCCGACGGUGCAUUGAUGGGCGGCAGGGGAGGAAGAUGACGGCUGGUGGCGGGGGUGGACGGAGGCGUGGCGGCGGCCAAACCUUGGUAGUGGCGGGGGUCGGGCGCGAAGAGUAGAACAGGCGCGGGAGGAAAGAACAGGCGCGGGAGGAAGUCACGGUGCGGGGGGUCUUAGGAGAAAAAGAAACGAACUUUUUUUCUGUAAUCAGUGGCAUUGAUGGGUAAUUACCCACCAACUGCACAAGGAGGUUCAUAUUGAGUGGUUUUGGAGCUGCAAAAGAGGUGCUCAAAAACUCCACCCUCAUUUGCACUAAGCUCCAUGAAGUUGGCAACUCCAUGGAGUUUUGGAGCUGGAAUGUUUGGCUGGAAAAUUGGCUGGAGUUGCUGGAGUUCAGCUCCAGAGCCAUGCCAAACUGGGCCUUAGGCACAGGUUUUCUUUAGCUAUAUUGUGGGUGGAAAAAGUAAUGCGAACCAAAUUACAUUUUUAUCAUUGUUUCUAAUCCAUCGCUCAGAUAGUCAGAUUUGAGGGUUAGACUCAACAGAAGCGCUCAUAUUUAUGACUAAUUGUUAUGUCAUGUUAGCUAACGUGCUACUCAACAGCGAGAAACCUAAUAUCCUUUCACCAGUUGCAAGAUAUACCCGUCCAAUCUCUCAAACGCAGAUUGAACACGUACAAGAACGGAUGAGAAAACCUCUCAAACAUUUCUAAGUUCACAUUUUACCACUUGGACAUGGAAAAAACAAAAUAGCCAUGAAUGGAAACAAAUAUUGGAUCUAUGUGAAUAUGAAAACGAAUAGAUAUGAAUGGGAAUUUGAAAGGAAUCGGUACUCGUAGCCUAAGAGGAGGAGGGGGUGAAUUAUGCAAACUUAAAUUCUUAACCUAUGGCUUCCACUAUUUGCUUCAAAACAUAAAUUUGCUAUCUAGAUGUGCAACAACUAAGGUUGAUCUACUGAUUCUUCUGACCUACAACAAGUUUUGCAAUCUAGAGGCAAUCCUAUCAAGAUUCUACUUAGUAAGUAAGUCACUCAAGUUGCAAGUAUGAAAUACGGAAAUGUAAAGGAGUGGGUUAGGCAUGAUGCAAACUCCGCACAACGAUUUUAUCCCGUGGUAUCGGUAGGCAAAUGCCACCCCUAGUCCACGUUGAAGCUCCACCAAGGAUAUGCUUCCGGUCACCAAGUCUCUCCCGGUCAAGGUAUUAGACUCGCCACAAACACUCUUGCCAAGCCAGAUGAGAAGCUAGCCACUAAGGCAAGGCUCACCACUCGCUCUCUUCUAGUCACCUUCAUGUCAUCUCCAGUACGAAGCUUCUCCAUGAAGGAGGGGAUCUCCUCGUCCCCUGCACACGAUUGUCAACGCCGCUCCACACCAAGUUGGAGGGUCAAAGACUUACCGGCGAGCCACCAAGGCUUCAAGACGCCAGCACACCUUGUACAAUGUUGGUUAACUCCUUGAACCGAUCAUAAGGCAGCAACACAUUGCACUCUCUCUUCUAUAGGCCUAUCCUGUUAGUGUUUAGACCUGACAACCUAUCGAGGGGGUACCCAAGGUAGUGUUCUGUGCGUGGGGCUCGCCGAAGACUAGGAACUCGAAGGUGAACUCAAACACACGAUUUAGACAGGUUCGGGCUGCUUAUGUCAUGUAACACCCUACAUCCUGUGUGUUGGUUGGAUUGUAUUGAUUGAUGAGAUGUUUGGAGGGCGUCCCUGCCUCACCUUAUAUUGCCGGGGGCAGGAUUACAGGUCGAUUGUUGUAUAAAGUACUAGUCAGAUUUGACCAAAGAGUCCCACUCUAAUUGCUACGAGUAGUUUCCUAAUCCUUGACUAGUCCCUGUCCGCCAUGUAGACCACGCUGUCCUGCACCAUAUUCUCCAUGUCUGAUACAUCUUGGUGUACAACCACGUAUUGUAGGACUACCCAAGCCUCCUGGUGGGCCCAUAGAUGUAUGGCCGACAAGCCCCCAAGUACUUUUUAAUCAAAUGCAGCAGUCCUGAGUACUUUUGGAGAUGUCACCGACUAGUUUGUGGUGCUCCUUUUGAGUACUCCAUCGAAUUGAAUCUUUGAAUGUGCUCGAGUAUUGCCAUGCGGCUAGAAGGUGCUCAAGCCUCAUUUAACUUAGUCUUGAAUCUUGAAUCUUAUAUGGAAGUGCGAUUUGAAAAAAUCGCACUCCAUAUGGAGUAGCCCCUGAGCCUUAGGUUGAAUCGAAGAAUCAGGCUAAGGGUCAAUCUUGUAAUAUCACAUCUGGUUCCCCUUAAAACCUGGAGAAAAACUUUUUAUCCAACGGGUACAUGGCACACAGCCCCCGAGCCAUUACAUGACUAGUUUGGGUAUAAGGGUCAACCACUGGUCCAAUGUGACCAUUCGCCUUUAGAGAACUUAUCUCUUUCGAAAAACUUGAUAAUCGUUCCGGCGAUAACUAAUGGCUUAAAAAAUAAAAUAUUCCCCAUAAUCUUCGCCACUCAGUUACCUUGUAUCACGGUUAUAAAUGAUGGAGGAAUCUUAUCCCUUCCAUUUACCUGAGCUAGUGCGCCCGAGCCAUUUCAUCUUCUCCACUGUAUCCCUAGUGCCGCUACUUGUACUCCCGGAGUGCCGCCACCCCCCAUUGUGCAGCCACCCAGCUGAUGCGCUGGAAGACCAUUGGUGCAAUGGCGCCCAAGAAGGCAUCCUUGAGCAAGGUGGCAAAGUCAAAGAAGCACAAGGCCGCCAAGAAGGAUAAAGAGGUCCAGCUGCCAGCGCCCAAGUAUGGGAAGACCGAUCAGACGGUGCCCUUGAAUCAAGCCAUGGCCUGGAGGUCGUCCACCUUGAAGGAGGCAAACAUCGAAGUACUGGUGCGUGCCAAUCUGCUUCAGGAGAAAUCCAUGGCCCUUUGAGACCUACCCGGACGAGACAGUGAUCUUCGUACACUUCAUCGAGCACAGGCUUGCUCUGCCAUUGUCCGAGUUCUUCAUGGGGUUGCUGAGGUAUUACCAUCUAAAACUAGUCCACCUCAACCCAACUCAAUUUUGCACAUUGUCAUCUUCGUGCACCUCUAUGAGGCCUUCCUGGUGAUUCAGCCCUAUUUUCAGCUUUUUAGGAAGUUCUUCAGAGUGAAGCCUCAAACCCGGAUGGACCACACGCUGGUAGUCGGAGGGGUGGAGAUCCAGCUUCGGGAGCAAUACAAGAGCCAAUACAUCGAGUAUGAGCUGAUUGACUCCCAUUUUGGAUGGAAGCAAUGGUGGUUCUACAUUGCAAAUCAUGACCCCCAUCUUCCUAAGGUUACUAGCCACCGUUCAGUGUGGAACAACCACUAGCUGGAUGAGCCGAGUAGUUCUGGUGGCUUUCAGCUACCGGAUCUGAUUAAGAAGAUUGCCUAGCUCAAGAAGGAUGGUCUCACCAGCGUUGGCAUAGCCUUCAGCUUCAUGAGGAGGCAUGUCCAGCCCCUGCAGCUUUGGUGCACUGUAGGGUACAACUACUCGGGUCCCAACAACCCAUCGCGGAUGAUGUCGGAGGAGCUGUCUCUUGACCAGGUGAUGGCCCACCUGAAGCAUUUCUUCAAGUGCGUCACGGGUAUCCCCACGAUCUUGCAAGAGCACUAAGCUGGGAACCCGCCAAAUCCUGUAAGUACCCAUGGCCUGCAGCUUCCGAGUACUAGUUCUGACAUAUGUCAUUGUUACUGACUAGUCUUUUGUUGCUUGCAGCAUGAGUUGAAUUUGUAUGUCUCAUACUCUCCUGCACCUGAUGCUGAUGUCAUGCCCCGUAUGCAGUCCCUUGAGGCUGUGCAGAGGUGCUCGAGGAGGAGGAGGAAAAAGGGAGGAGUCGCCAAACUGGUCCUCCCUCAGCAGCUCUGAUUCAGAGCUGCUGAAAAGUUUGUUGUGAAGCCCCGUCUUUCUGACAAGGUAGGGUCAUUGUCUGGGACAUCCAAGCAUGCAGCGAAGGAUGUUCCGGAAGUUGAAGUGGCGCCACCCCUGAAGGAGGCACGUACUACCGCCGCCAAGAGGGUGGCGAAGAAAUCGUUGGCCGCUGAGAUCCCUCCUCAGGUAACAAGAUCUUGAGGAUCGAGUACCCCUGCAUUAUCUGCUUUAUCAUCAGAAUUUGACUUUAAUCUUGUUAGUGUGUAGGUAGUGGAGGAGGAGACUAAGGAAGAGGAACUGACUACUCUGAUCCUACAGCGGUAGAGGUUGCCAACGAUACAAGAAGUCUCACGCGUUGAGUACUCGAGGAGAGGAGGUAGUGGCUAAGGCUGGCGAGGAUCUGACUAUGAUCCGGCAAGCCGUACCAAAGAAGUCAUCACCAACCAUCAAGGCACUGUGCCUGGGAACCGAGUCCUCCCUUAGGAUAAGGAGGUCCACCCAUUAAGUAUCCGUGUAGCGAUGUCAACUUGAUGUCAUCAAGUAGUGUGUCAUAAUACUUUUCUUGUUGUAGGAGAUCCGCCAGUGUGGACACUAAGGGCUCGAGUAUGACAUCUGGUGAUGAUGGUGGUAGCCACUCAGCCCAGGAAGUCAUCCCGGGUUCUGGUGCUGAUGGCAGUAGCCACUCAGCCCUCGAGCUUGCCUUGGAGCAUGAUGUUCCGCCGCUAGAGGAUCAGCCCGCUGCAACUCUUAUGCAUGACUUGUUGUGAUCACUUUUAAGUUUCUAUAGUUCUAGCCCCCGAGUUGCCGGAGGCCGAACCCGUCAUUGAGAAUACUUCCACGAUGGUGAUCGAGCUGGUGGCCGUGAUGUUGAAUUCGGAUGCUGAGCCGGAAAUGGAGGCCGGGGUGGAGCUGGAAGCUGAGGUUAGAGUGGCGGUCGUCAAAGAAGUCGAGGUUGCACGUGUAGCCCCCGAGCCAAAAGCUGAUGUAGAGGCUGCCAGGAUGGUGUAAGUGUUGCCCGUUGUCCCGCCGUCCAAGGUGAGGCCAUCGACUAGUCGCGCGGUGGCUACCUCCUUGUCAUCAGAAGCUGGCCCAUCGACUAGCCGAGCAAUGGUCCCUCUCGAUGCGCCGGGUGCCGGAGAACAUGAUGGGGUUCCUCUUGUGGUGAAACGAGAGAGAGACUGGCUGAUAGCUGACCCCCUAGCCACCAUGGAUUUCGAGGCCACGCUGAUGGACAUGUACCACCAAGUAGACGAGUACACAUAGGUAGGCUUUACUCUUGCUCUUGAACUUCGUCUUUAAAUUGGUACUCGUUACUGACCACGAGCACUUGCUCUGUUGUUGUAGACAUUGAUCCAGGACUUCCGCGAGUAGUCGAAAGUUCUCGAAGUAGUUGGAGACACCAUCUAGCAGGCCGAGGCGCUAGAGCAGAAACUUGCCGAGGAGAGGUAGUACUCCUCUCGACUGUUGAUGAAGUAUGAUGGCUAGGCCGCCGAGUACCAUAACCUCUUGUAGAAAGCUGAUGAAGAAAAUGAUCGGCUCCGGGUACUCAAUAGAGGCCUGAGGACCCAAAAUGAAGGUAGGCUAUUUUUCCUUCAUUGCUUUCAAGUACUUGUCUACCUUGCUGAUGCUGACUUGUUCUUUGCCUUUGUUGUUGUAGAGCUCACCAAGGAGAAUAACAAUCUCUAGUGUCGUGCUGUGGACUGGCAGAACGCAUACUAUCGGGUCACCGAUGAGUAUGACAAGGUGACCAAACAGUACAAGACCCUGUAACAGAAGUUUGAUAAGGAGAAGCAACUGCGCAAGGACAGGAAGGUCCAACUUGUGGACCUGAUGGAGAAACUCCAAGCGCAGUAGGCUGAGUUGGAGGUGAAGGACCUUUCUCUCAAGGAGCUAUCAGAAGCUGCUCAGCCCAUUGCUGAUAUGGUGGAUCCCUCGGAGGAAGGGGUGGAGCCUCAUCCCUUGGUGGAGAUACUCAAGGAUGUACCCGAGAAGUUCACCAGCUACGUGAAGAAGACUGCAGAGUCCAUCUCCAAGCAACUGCUGAUGAUGGUGAAGUCAUUCUACCCACAAGCCAACUUGGCUCUCGUGGCAGAAGGCAUUGCUGAGGACUGCUCAGAUGAGCAGUUCCAGCAGUACCUAGAGGAGAUGGCUCCCAUUGCUCAAGAAGUAGCCAGUCAGAUAGACCUUGAGUAAUCUACAAAAAUAAUUGUUUGUAAUGUAAAAAAGUUAUGUUAAUGCAAAUUAUUGGAAGUCUUGUUGCAAUUUUUUGUUUGCUUGAUGAUUUGUUUGAAUUCCUUUAGUUUAGUGCCUCUCAUGGACUACCUAGAUGUUUGCUCAUGUGGUAGUCAUCAGUGUCCACGCACAAGGCUGCUUCAAGAAGCCUCUUCAAAUAUACUAUGUAGAGCCUUUUUGCGGAGCUCCAGUACUCGUGUAUCUGGGUAGUCGAACUCUUCAAGCGAGUAGACUCUUCAAGACUUCAUGAUCUGGAGCUUACCUUUAGAAACCUUUAUAGAUUGUUUGGGUGUUGUGCUCCAAAGACUUGGAACUUGCAGACUUGUUAUUACAAGGCGCGGCUAGAAGGACAAGAUAGUAUAGAUCACUCCUAAGUAAUUUGACGAGUUCUGUCUGCGAAGACUGUCGAUGGACAAGUUUUAUCCAAGGAUCUGAUUAGCUCGAGAUUUGUGUGUGCAGGCUUGCUUUUGUGCAAGUUGCUUCUAUCUAAUGAGUUUGGAGCCUAUACGACUAGGUCCAGUGACCUUAAAAUGAUGUAAGGCCCCUCCCAAGGCAACUUUAGCUUGUGCAGCCCCUUGGUGUCUUGGAUAUGCUUGAGGAUCAUGUUGCUUGUGUUCAACGAACGUUCUUUGAUGUUAUGAUCAUAGAGCGGAGGAUUCCUUCAAGGUACCUUGCUAACUGGUUGAGUACUGCACAGCGAGCUUCUUCAAGGCUGUCUAAGUCUAGACGCCUUGUUUCUUCAGCCGUGCCUUCCUCGUAUUGCUCAACCACUAGAGAUUUCCACAUGACGUCGGUAGGGAGGAUGGCUUCUGAUCCGUAGACCAGGAAGUAGGACGAGUGCCCCGUAGGCUUGCACGGCUGUGUGCGAAGCCCCUAGAGGAUAUUGGGUAGUUGCUUGAGCCACUUGCCUCCUUUGGUGUUGCCAAUGUCGUGUAGUCUCUUCUUGAGAGCUUCCAGUACCAUCCUUUUGGCACGCUCAACUUGGCUGUUGGCCAGUGGAUGAGCCACAAAGAUGUAUUGGACAUCGAUCCUGCUGUUUUCGCAGUAUUCCCAGAACUCGUGAUUGUUGAAAUUUGAGCCCAGGUCUGUGAUGAUGCGAUUGGGGAAGCUGUAGCGAAGGACGAUCUCGUCGAGGAAGUCAAGUACUCUAUCUGCCUUGGGGCAGGUUACAGGCUUCAUCUUGAUCCAUUUGGUGAAUUUGUUGAUCGCCACGAGUACUCGAUUGAAGCUCCUAGGCCGCGUAGGUAGAGGGCCAAUCAUGUCCAGCCCCCAGCAUGCGAAGGGUCAGGAGGGCGGUAUGGUGAUCAGCUUGUAGGUAGGGACGUGUUGCUGCUUGGUGAAGAAUUGACAACCUUGGCAUCAACGGACUCGUUCUUCAGCGUCUUUGAGAGCUGUAGGCCAGUAGAAUCCCACUUUGAAAGCGUUGCCUAUGUUCGUUCUGGAUGAUGCAUGGUUGCCGCAAAUGCCUUUGUGAAUCUCCUCCAGUAUGUCCUUGUUGUCUUCUCAUGAGACACACUUCAUGUGUACUCCUGAUGAUGCGCAUUGUCUGUAGAGCUUGUCCCCGACUAGGAUGUAGUUCUUGCCAUGCCGUGAGACUUGCUCUGCUUCUAUCUUGUCGGGAGGCAGCUUGUGCACCUUGAUGUAGUUGAUGAAGGGGGUUCUCCAAUCUACGUCGAUCAUCAUAACCUCCCGGUCGGGCGCAUCAUUGCCGCGAUCGGUGAUUUUAGAUACUGCUGGUUCCUGUAUGGAUGGCUUGUGUAGUUCAUGGACGAAGACCCGAGCUAAGAGUUGGCACAAGUUGACCCGAGUUUGGACAAGACGUCUACGGCUACGUUGUUGUCACAAGCCACGUGAUGGAACUCCAUACCAGAGACCUUUUCCUCUAGCUUGCGCACUUCAAGGUAGUACACAUCCAUGUUAUCCUUGUGAUGAUCCCACUCAUCGUUGACUUGGUUGAUGACCACGAGUGAGUCGCCAUAUACCAACAACCAUUUGAUUCCCAGUGAUACUAUCAGGCGGAGCCUAUGUAGUAGCGCUUCAUACUCAGCUAUAUUGUUGGAGACCUCCCAGAAGAUUUGCAAGACAUAUUUGAGUUGUUCACCUUUAGGAGAGAUUAGUAGUACUCCUGCACUAGCUCCCUCAAGCUUGAGUGAUCCAUCGAAGUACAUGACCCAAUGCUCUGGUUGUUCUGCCAGUGCGGGUACCUGAUUUUCCCGUCACUCUACCUUGAAAUCGACUAGUGCUUGCAACUUGAUGGUAGUCCUUGGUUUGAAAUCCAGGGACAAGGCUCCGAGUUCUACUGCCUACUUGGAGAUUCUUCCUAUUGCAUCUCUAUUGUGGAGUAUGUCUCCCAAGAGGAAGUCUAUGAUGAUAGAGAUGUUGUGUUCCUAUAAGUAGUGUCAUAGCUUCCGCGAGGUGGGUAGUAUUGCGUAUAGCAACUUCUGUACUGGUGGGUAUCUAGUUUUAGAGUCUAACAGCACCUCGUUGAUGAAGUAGACGGGCCUCUAAACUUUGUAUACAUGUCCUGGUUCUGGUCUUUCGACCACGAUCGCCGUGCUGAUGAUGUUAGUAGUCGCAGCGACGUAGAGCAGCAAGUCUUUGUUGGGAGUAGGCGCCGUGAGGACCGGUAGCUUUGAUAGGAAGUCCUUUAACUGUUGAAGGGCUUGUUCCGCGUCCUCGGUUUACUAGAACUUGUCCUGCUGCUUGAAUAGUUUAGAGAAGGGUAGCCCGUAUUCUCCAAGUCUUGAGAUAAAUCUAUUGAGGGCCGCCAUGCACCCAGUCAGCUUCUGGACAUCCUUGAUGCACGAUGGAGCAUGCAAGUUGGUGAUGGCAGCGAUCUUCUCAGGAUUAGCUUCGAUUCCUCGAUGGCUGAUGAUGAAUCCGAAUAGUUUUCUAGAGGGUACAUCGAACACGCACUUUGUUGGGUUCAGUUUCCAUCGGUAUACUCACAGGCUUGUGAAGGUUUCUUCCAGAUCCGCAAUGAAGUCAUCAUGAUUUCUGGUCUUUAUGACCACGUCAUCCACGUAUGCCUAUACAUUGUAGUGUAGAAGGUUCUUGAAGCACUCCUGGAUGGCUCGUUGAUACAUGGCGCCUGCGUUCUUCAACCUAAAGGACAUCAUAGUAUAGCAGAAGGCUCUGUAAGGGGUGAUGAACAUGGUCUUGAUCUGGUCUUCUUCCUAAGUGCUAUCUGGUGAUACCCCGAGUAGCAGUUGAGGAAGGAGAGUAGAGCACACCCAGCCAUCGAGUCGAUGACUAGAUCAAUCCUAGGGAGCCCAAAGGGAUCCUUUGGACAAUGCUUGUUUAGGUCUGUGUAGUCGACACACAUCCUUCACUCGUUGUUGUUCUUCUUCUACACCAAGACAGGGUUAGCCAACCACUCUGAAUAAAGGAAUUAUUUUAUGAAGCCAGCCACGAGUAGUUUAGCCAAUUCUUUUUUGAUGGAUUCUCUUCUUUCUUGGGCGAACCGGCGUAGUCGUUGUCGCUUGGGCGUAGCUUUGGGAUCCACAUUCAGUGAGUGCUCGAUCUACUCCCUAGGCACCCCCGGCGCCAAUUAGGGCUGUAUUGGAGCUGUUGCCGGUCUCGAGGUCAAUGGCUUUGUGAUCACCCUCUCCUGCCGGCUUGACCUUGGUUGCCCCCGACUUCUUCUCUUGGAUUUCGAACUCUGUUGGGGACAAUUUCUUGGAGGCGGUGAAGACUUGCAUCAUGGAGUUUGGCACUUGGGUAGUCGCUGCCAGCUCCACAGCUUCUGUAUCACAGUCGUAUGAUCUCUUCAAGUCUCUACGCAGGUAAAAUACUCCCUUGGGUCCCGGCAUUUUGAGUACUAGGUAUACAUAAUGUGGGAUGGCCAUGAAUUUGACCAGUGCUGGUCUUUUGAGGAUGGUGUGGUACAAAGUCUCAAAGUCAGCCACCUCGAACCGGAUGUACUCGAUCCGGUAAUAAUCCUUGGUCCUAAAUGUAACUGGAAAAAGCACGUAAUCAACGGGUACAACCACGUUACCCAGGACAAUCCCGUAGAACGAAGAGUUCGUCAGGGUGAGCAUAUCUAUCAUGUCAAGGCCCAUCUUCUUCAUAGUCUUGGUGAAGAGCACGUUGAGGCCACUGCCAUCGUCGAUUAGUACUUUUGUAGGUGAGAGCCUGCGACAUCUGGAUCUAGGAUGAGAGGAUAGCGUCCUGGAUUGGAGAAGCUAGUCCACUAUUCUUUUCUUGAAAAGGUGAUUGGCACAUCAGACCACUUAAGGAAAGUAGGUGUUGCUAGCUCAAUGGACAUGAUUUCUUGAAGGGUUAACUUUUGGGACCGCCUGGUAGCAGUACCCGGAAUGCCACCGAAUAUGAUGUUGACAGUGUUGGACGGGUUCUGGAAUUUCCCAUUAUUGUCCUUGUCUCCGUAUUCUUUAGCCUUUCCCUUGUCUUUAGCUCCAGAAGAUUUCGGCAGAUCUUUGAUGAUUCUACGAAGGCUUUUGCAGUCCAUCAAAGAAAGUUUGGAGUUUGAGUGCCAUGGGCACUGCUUUUUCAGGAGCUCCUUGAAAGGAGUCCUCUCUUGGUUUGCACCGCUCUUCUUGGAGGACUACGACAUUACCGCUGCAGUAUUGUCUGGCUUCCUUUUGCGGUUUUGACCACCCGAGUAGUCGCCUCGGUUGUCUUUGGGGUGAUCGUUGUGAUUCUUACCGUUACCUUGGUCGUUGCUCUGGUUGUUGUUCUGGCCUCUAUUGCGACUAGAUUCAAACCGCUCAAUCUCCUUGGCUUCUUCAUCUGCCUAGGAUUGGAUCAUGGUCUUGAGAGACUUGAUAUCCUCCGGGCGUCUUCUGCCAAAGUCUUGAAACAUUUGACGGUCAUAGAGACUAUUCUAGAAGCAUUCUAUGGCGUCCUUCUCUGUAAUGUCCAUGAUAGUGGCCUUCUUGUCAAAGAAACGAUGUAGGUAACUAUGCAGGGUUUCGCUUGUUGCUGUUUGACUUGCAACAAGCUGAUCCUAUUACCAGAACAUUGCAUUGCUCUAGCAAAGUUAUUUGUGAACGUUGUCUUCAGCUGUCUCCAUGUAUCGAUGGAGUUCCUCCUUAGAGACUCGAGCCAAGUGAGUGGCUCUGCCUCCAUGAGAUGGGGAAGUAGAUGACCUUGGUGUCGUCGUUUCCUCUCGCUGCAUGGACCGCUAGUGAGUGGCACCUUAGCCAUUGGACUAGGUCCUGGUUGCCGUCAUAUUUGUUGAUAGUCGGAAGUUUAAACUUGUUGGGUAGAAUUGUCUUGCAUACUCAGCUUGGAAAGGCGGGGAACCCGUCAGUGUCUUCUCCCAAAUAGUCGACUUCUGGAUCGUGUUCGUGGGGUCACCCUUCCAUGAUGUCACGCGCGUCGCAAUUCUGGUUAAUCUUCUAGCAAAGGUCGCGAGGUUGCUCAGGUUUUGGGUAGGGCCAAUGGGGUCCAAGGCCUCCUGAGUGUCCUGCCCGACUACCUUCUGCCCUAUGUUGACUUGCCCUGGGUUGCUCAAUCCUGGCAACCUCAUUUCUGGCGGCUUUGUUGCGACUUGGAUGCCUGCCGCUACUGCCAUGAUGGGAAGAGGUGCGUCGGACUGAGUUGAUCGGGCUCUGUCGAUCGAGUAGUUUGUACGCGUGCUGUGCCAAGAAAGCUAGUUGCCUGGUGUACUUGUCUUGCGCCAUCGCCCGAGUGAGCAGGUCAAUGGAGGCUAUGGUGGCGAGAGGAGUGUUAUGUUGACGCAUUGAAACUAUUUCGAACGCUUGAUCCAGGUUCAUGAUGGGUAGAUCAUUUGCCAGGUGGCGUCGACGUUCUACUCGCUUCGCGUUUCUUGCUUGUCGGCACACCCUUUGACCUUCUGUCUCUUCCUCUUGGACAUUGGCAGAGAGUUCGUCCGCCGACGCGUCAUCAGGGUGAUGCUCAUAUCGCGGGUUCCUUUUUGGUUGUUCUGCUCUAUCAUUGUUGGCUCUUUGAGGAGUGAUAAUGGCGAGUAGUUCUCGCUCUUGGGAGAAACUACUCAAGCUUGAUGUGAUGAUCUCCGUAGAGCCAUCUUUUUCGUAGGUAGGAGACAGAGGUGUUCCAUCUUGGUAUGGGAGGUUGUCGAGGUACGCGAUGAAGAGUGACUCGUCGUCCCUGGCGAGGGCAAAUGGUUUCAUGUUGGGCCAGUAGACGAAUCUGCCUUGUGGAGUAGAUGUGAUACUAGGCCCUGCUGCAGACUUGAUAAGGGAAUCUCCCCAUCCAGAUCCGAGUAGUAGUCGAAGUCCUCGAUCGAAUUCAAGUUGGAUUGGCACUGGACAAGGAAGCUUGGUAGACAGUGCUUGCGUUUCGAUGUCUCAACAGGAACGGACUUGUGUUGUAGACCAAUUCGCACGGUGGCUCGAGCGCUAGCUCGUAGGAACCAGUCUGACUGAUGGGAGAAGUUGAGUUGUACUCGGACUCACCCCUGGGACCUCGGAAGAGGUUGAAUUUUUUGUUGAACUUUUUGACAAAAUCCUCCAAAGCUUGGCGAUGGAGAUCGAUGUCGUAGUGCUUCUCCUCAAGGGCCGGCGCGAUGUGGCGGUGGAAGUUUCUAGCGCCGUCUGCGACACAGACCCAGGAGCCGAAGACAAACGUCGGGCCUUCUUCGAACGUGAUGGUGGGUUUGAUGAUGAUUGGAGCCAUCAAGUUUGCCAGUGGAUCUUUAGCAAGAUCCCCUACCUAGCGCGCCAUCUGUCGAUGUUUAGAUCCGGCAACCUACCGAGGGGUACUCGAGGUAGUGUUUUGUGCAUGGGGCUCGCCAAAGAUCAGGAACUCGAAGGUGAACUCAAACACACGAUUUAGACAGGUUCAAGCUGCUUAUGUCGCGUAAUACCCUACGUCAUGUGUGUUGGUUGGAUUGUAUUGAUUGAUGAGAUGUUUGGAGGAGGCCUCCUACCUCGCCUUAUAUUGCUGGGGGCAGGGUUACAUGUUGCUUGUUGUACAAGAGUACUAGUCGGAUUCGACUAGAGAGUCCCACUCUAAUUACUACAAGUAGUUUCCUAAUUCUUGACUAGUCCCUGUCCGCCACGUAGACCACACCGUCCUGCAUUGUAGUCUCUGUGUCUGAUACAUCUUGGUGUACAGCCCGGUAUUGUAGGACUAUCCAAUCCUCCCGGUGGGCUCAUAGAUGUAUGGCCGACAUAUCCUAAUAGUAAUCACUCUUUUAAGCUUGUUCUAAGCCUUUGAUUAAUCACCUAUGCACUUUUGGUAGCUUGGAUGUGUUCUUGUUGAGCCUUGAUCUCCAAUGAAUUUCUGCACACAACAACAACUCCAAAUGGGCGAGUGGAGGGGGUUUAAAUAUCCCCAGGCAUCAAAGAGUUGUUGCUCCAAUGGCUAGUUAAAGUGUACCAUCGGAUGUUCUGAUGGUAUGAUUUUGGUAAGUACAGGAACAUCCGGUGCUACUAGCCGUUGGGCUCUUGAGCCCAAAACUGCCACCGACGCAAUCCACUGAUUGAUAUGGUGGUUCGUCCGAUGGUGCACCGUAUCAUUCGGUGCUAGGCUUUCCACACCAAAACUCUUUGGAACUUUCAAAAGAAAAUAUGCUUCGUCCAAUGGGGCCUUAAUAUUGAGCAUCAGAUCAUCCGGUGCAUGCGUUCGUUUCUUCUUUUGAACAACCGAUUCAUCUUAUGCAUAGGAAAGCAAGGCCAGCAAUUGCUCCGAUGCUUUAAAAUCCCUGGCCAUCAGGACAUCCGAUGGUCCCAUUUGGUUUCCACGCGUACUGUAGGCACCAACUGAUUCGUUGGCCAUUUUCUCCACAAAGAAUGAGUCGGUGCUAUAUGUUGAUGCACAAAACUUUGAUUAUUUGCUUGUCUUUUGUUGUGGUUGCUUCCUUAGGACCUAAGAACCUUCAAGACAUAUUCUAAACAAUUCAUUAGUCCUAAUGAUCAUGUUGUCAUAAAAUCACCAAAAUCACAAACAAUAGCCUAAUGGGGUCAUGUUCGCUACAAUCUCCUCCAUUUUCGUGAUUCAUGACAACACAAUCAAAGCAAGCAUAAUUUUGCAAAAAUUGGCCAAUUGAACCACUUACACAUGCUUAGAUGCUUACCAUCAUCCAACUUGUUCUUGAUCUCCGCCUUGUUCAUUUUGAACUCCUUGAGUCCAGUCAAGAAUGUUGUCAUCUUCUUCUUUAUCACCAUUUUCCAUUAUAACUCCUCUUUCCCCAUGCUUAGUCCAAAUAAAAUAGUCUUUCUAGAUGACUAAUCCUUCUCAUUGUUGCAAUUUUUGCAUGGAUAACAAAUGAAACUGGAUGGCAGCUUGUUGGAUUCUACCAGAUCGAGAAAACCACACAAGCCAUUAAUGUACUCCAUGGAGCGUUUGUUUACGUUAUACAUCCAUUGCCGAUUCAUCUACAAAGUAUUAAUGAAUCAAAGAUUUUCUGAUCAUAUAAUUGUGAAGCAUAACAAACAUCACACAAAUCUCAUAAAACUCAAAUGUUGCUGAAAGUUUAAAUAGAAAUACACAAAUUUAAAGUUUAGACCCAAAAAAUACAAUAUGAUACACUACGACAAACACAAAUGUUGCUGAAAGUUUAGAUAGAAAUAUACAAAUUUAAAGUUCAGACCCAAACAACAUGAUACACUACCAAGAACUCAAAUGUUGCUGAAUAGAUAGAACUACACAAAUUUAAAUUUUAGACCCAAACAACAUGCUACACUACGACAAACCAUCCACUAAGUGAUAUCUAGGAGGACUUUAAGCAUCUUUGGGCGGCGAAGACGAAGGUUUAUUUGUGCCUCUUGCGACGGUAGUACUCGGUGGACUUGAAACCGCUGGGACUGGAGGUGGAGUAUAACGACCACCAAAAGGAGGUUCCUGACCCACCGCAAUAGCAUCUUCAUGAUAUCUUUCCAAAUAACGAAGCAUUGCUCUCUCCCACGUGCUCAUUUUCUUCGACUUAUCAUGAGGGCCAACUAUGGUUUUCCCCUUGCCACGAGACGAACUACGAUCACCCCCACCAUCACCACUACCUCCGGCAGCAGUAUCCAUCUCUAUGUACCAUAAUUUAUUUAGCUCAUAUUUGCAAAUAACUAAACUAUAAACAAAUUAUAUUUUUUCCCACAAUAUAGUUAGCUCAAACAUAACAUAUAAAUGAAAAAUUUCUCCAUUGUAGCUUAUUCUAAAAAUGACAAAAUACAUACCUCUAUUUAAUCUUAUUAUCUCUAUGUACCAUAGUUUAUCUCGCUCAUGUUUGCAAAUUACUAAAAUACGAAUAAAUUAUAUUUUUUCCCACAAUUUAUUUAGCUCAUAUUUUAAAGGACUAAACUAUGAAAUUAUUCCUCUAACCUCAUAUUGAUCAGUUUCUUUGACUAAUACGAAACAUAGCAUCCAAAAAAUUGUAGCUCAAACAUAUAUCAUAUAAAUGAAAAAUUUCUCGAUUGUACCUUAUUCUAAAAAUCACAAAUUAUUCUAGCUCUAAAGCAUAAAACUUAGUAUACUAAGCAUGUAUCAAAGGAUGAUGAAGUUUCUAACCUUUAAAACACUUGAACGAGUGAAAUCCCCACGAAAUGGUCAAAAAUCCGGUAGCACCUCCCCUGUUUUGCCAUGAAUGGAUGAAGCUCGAGCUGGAGAAAAUGGCUCGGGCAGAGGAACAAGACGUCUGAUUUUAUUGGAGAGAAGUUAGUACCGUGUGGAGGAUUUGCCCUAUACUAAAAGUUGCAUAUUAGUACCGAUUGAAGCCUCCACCCGGUACUAAAGAUCCUCAGGCACAUUAGUACCGGUUGGAGGCUUCAACCAGUACUAAUGUGCAACCUUUAGUACCGGUUGAAGCCUCCACCCGAUACUAAGGGAGUCACAGGAGGCUCCUGAGGAACUAGUCGUUGGACCUAUUACUAAUGCUCACAUUAGUACCGGAUCAAAAAUCAACCGGCACUAAACCUCGGGACGAAUGGCGAGUUUUCCAGCAAUGAUGAAAAGCCUAUGCUAAAAUUGGGAUGUGUUAGAGCACAUGACCACAUACUUUAUGUCCUUUCAAACAGGAAAGGAGGGUACCGUAUCUGACACUUAAAUAAAAAAGAAUCAUAUACGUUGAUAAUACAUCCAGAAAAGACAGAACUGCACGCAUCCCGUAUCAAGCUGAACGGCCACGAUACAAACUAUGUCAGCUCGCUGGAGUAAAACCUGAUCGUGGGUUGCUAUGGGCAAUACUCACUCUAUUUUUUUACAUUUCACAUUAUAUUUGUUCUAAGCUAAAAUAUAAGAAAAAUAUGUUUUUUCAUCCCUAAAGUAGUUUCAUAUCUUAUAUUUUAAUUGGUGAAAAUCAAUCCCUUAACUAACUAAAUUGGUGCACUAAUCAUCCCGUCUCAAUUUAUUAACGGUUUUAAGCCAUGCAAUCAUCUGACUAACUAUCGCCACGUCAUAUAUGCUGACUAAUAAUCCACUUCACACGCCCAACGUUUUUUAGUAAUUCUUCCUUCUGUUCGGAUAGGCAGUUGUGCAUACUGAUCCCUAUCCCGUUGCCUUCUCCGUUCUCUAGGAUCUAUGGGUAGUUGAAUGUCAUUGGAAGUCAGUGAUACUCCAACAUCUAUAUCCAUGAUUUCCUGCGAAAUACAUAGAGUAUGAAAAAACCGUCAACUUUCACAUAAGCAACACAAAAGAAAUAUUGCAUUGACUAAAUAUAAUUGUGGACUAUAGAAAAAUCAUUUUCAUUUGCUUGAAACGUGCAUAAAUUUUUGACAAAAACCUUAAGGUGGCGUUUGGAUGCAUAUGAAGUUAGGGAUAAGGAUGUAGACCGGGGAUAGAAAGAGCUAGGUUAGGGACGAGGAUAUGGGUAUCCGGUACUGUUCUUAUGUUUGUUUUGAAAAAAGAAAAAGAGUAUGGACGCCUUAAGCAUGAACAUGCUUGAUCAGUGUUAUGGAUACACAAGAUUUUUUUUCAUUCUUUCUAAUGGAAAAAAGCAGAAAAGCAAUAUCAAUAAAUUAAAGCAAUGUCUUCGAUUGGAAAAUAGCAGAAAACCAAUUUUCGAGAAUCAUCGAGCAGUAUGCAUGAAAGAAAUGGAGGGACAGAUGAAGACAAGUGCACAGGCAAAGAGAGUAUUUGUAGCGGCAAACACAACAGUCGGUCCUUAUCUUCUCCCCACUCCCUCCACCGCUCACCCAGAGCCAUCAACAGAAGAGCAGUGCAGAGGUGCCGAAGUGAGCGGCCGCUGCAGAGCCCUCAAGCUCCUCCUCCCCCGUACUCCCUCGAGUGCAGGAGCUCCUCCUCACCCCUACUCCCCCAAUGCGCUUGAACCAGCAAGCUACAACCCUCGCUAUGACGCCUCUGUGGGCCUCCUCCUCAGCGCUUGCAUGCGAGAAGUGAUGGAUUUACAGGAACUCUAGAUGCAAAUCUAACAGGUUAAAACUUAUUCUUUAGAUGAAAAAAUUGACCUAAAAUCUAGAUAGAGACAUCCGAGAGGGGGGGGGGAGAGAGUAGAGUGGAUCACAACCAUCGAGCUUCGUCGACGAGCUCGCCAUGGUGGUGAAGACGGUGUUGACGACGAGGGCGGUGGCGGCGGCGCGGGGAGUUGGCGGAGCUUCCCGCCGCUGACAGCGCAAAGUAGAUCGAGUACUAGGUUUGCUAGUGGGUUUGGUGGGAACGGUAUCAAACUUGAGCUUUCGUGCCCCCGGCCCUCACCUUGUCUUUAUAACGCUGCGUGACGGGACCCCACCAAUCAUGUUUUUAAGCGCCCCCGAUCAAGGCAUGAUCAAGGACUCCGACUCGAUCGUUGGACCGAGCCGGACGAGAUCAAUACUAACAUUCUCCCCCUUAUCUCAUCUCAUACUUAAACUUAGUCUUAAACUUGGCACCAAUUUUAUCACAGAUCAGUGUAUAGAGCAUUUCUCGUCAUAAUAGCUAGUUACGUACUAUCAGAUUCAACAACUACAACACACCUUUCUGUUUUGAAAUAGAUUCUUGUUCUAGGCCCUUAGUAUCCAGGAAUCAUAGGCUUUCCCGUAAACCCAUGCCGGCUAAGUGUUCUCUGAACACAUUGGGCGGUAAGCCUUUCGUAAGCGGAUCCGCAAGCAUUUCUUUUGUUCUUAUAUGCUCUAAACUUAUCGUAUGAUCCUGGAUUUUCUCUUUCACAACAUAAUACUUGAUGUCGAUGUGUUUGGCAGCACCACUUGACUUAUUGUUGUGAACAUAGAAUACUGCUGGCUCAUUAUCGCAGUACAUCUUGAGUUGUCUUUGAAUGCUGUCUACCACUCUCAACCCGGGUACAAACUUCUUUAACCAUUUUUCCUACCCCGUGGCCUCAUAGCAUGCUACAAACUUGGCAAACAUGUGGACGAUCCAGUGAUGGUUUGCAUGGAGCUCUUCCACAAUAUAGCUCCACCUGCGAGAGUGAAUACAUAACCUGAUAUGGAUUUUCUAUCGUCUACAUCUCCCGCAAAGUCUGGAUCUGAGUACCCUACUAUUUCAAUGGAGUUAGUUCUUCUGUACAUUAACAUGAGGAUGUCAUCUACGUAUAGGAUAAGAAAAAGGAAUUUUCCACUACUAGCAAUUAGGAUGUCAUCUACGUAUAGGAUAAGAAAAAGGAAUUUUCCACUGUUAAACUUUGCAUAAACGCAAUUGUCCUCCUUAUUCUCACUAAAUCCAAACUUUCUUAUUGUCUCAUCAAACUUCUAGUACACUGCCUGGAGGCUUGUUUUAAUCCAUAAAUGGAUUUCUUCAUAUGGCAUCCCAUUUGUUCUUUUCCUUCCAUGACAAAACCUUUGGGUUGUGCCAUGUAAACAUUUUCUUCUAGGUCUCCAUUGAGAAAAGCUGUCUUUACACCCAUCUGAUGUAACUCUAAAUCAUAGUGUGCCACUAAAGUCAUUAUGAUUCUAAAAGAAUUCUUACAGGAGACUGGAGAAAAUGUCUCAUUAUAGUCUAUUCCUUCUCUUUAUGUGAAGCCUUUUGCUACAAGUCGCGCUUUAUAUCGUUCGACAUUCCCUUUGGAGUCACAUUUUGUUUUGUAGACCCAUUUACAACCUAUUGUCUUGGCUUCUUUAGGAAUUUCUUCUAAAUCCCAGACUUUGUUGCUACUCAUGGAUCUCAUUUCAUCUUCCAUGGCUUCAAACCACUUUGAUGAGUGAGCACUUCUCAUGGCUUCUUCAAAUAAGGUGGGUACUCCCUCCAUUUGAACUUAUUCACUGACAUAGACUUCAUAGUCAUCAGGAAUAGCUGACUUUCUAACUCUUUGAGACCUUCUGGGGGCCUCAACAUUUGGCACAUCUUCCAUUUGGGGCUGAUGUAGCUCUUUCUCAUAUGUGACAACAGGUUCUUAUAGGAUCCUGAAAGACAGGUUCCUCAUCUUCAUUCGUUGUUGCCAUAGGAGAACUAACAACAAGUGCUAUAGCCACAAUGUCAUGUACUGUUGGUGCAGCAGCAACAGGUAUCGAGAAAAAAGGUUCCUGAAUCAUCAUUGUGGGUACGUAUACCCGCUUCUCCUCAAGGCUAAUUUCUCGGGGUACCGUGCUCCCCUUGAUCAUCUCAUCCUCCAAAAAGAUAGCGUGUCUCAUUUCUACAAACUUAGAAUGACUGUCAGGACAUUAGAAACAAUAAUCUUUUGACUUAUCAGGGUAGCCAAUGAAAUGGCAAAUGAUUGUCUUAGGAUCUAAUUUCCCAAUAUUUGGGUUAAAGACUUUAGCCUCAGCUGGACAGCCCCACACACGCAAAUAAUUGAGUGAGGGCUCUCGUCCAGUCCACAACUCAUAUGGUGUCCUAGACACCGACUUACUAGGAACUCGAUUAAGGAUGUGAAUGGAAGUUUUUAAUGCCUCCAUCCACAAACUAACCAGUAAAGUGGAGUAACUUAUCAUGCUUCUCACCAUAUCCAUUAAGGUACGAUUACGUCUUUCAGCUACUUCACUCUGCUGAGGCUUGCUUGGUGUAGAGUAUUGGUCAACUAUGCCAUUUUCCUAUAGAAACCUUGCAAAAGGUCCAGGAACUUGGCCAUAUGGGGUAUGUCGACCGUAGUACUCCCUCCCACGGUCGGAAUUUACUAUUUUAAUCUUUAAACUAUGCUAAUUUUCUACUUCAGCCUUAAAUAUCUUGAAUUUAUCCAACGCUUCUGAAUGCUCUUUAAUUGGAUAAAUAGAACCAAAACGUGAAAAAUCAUCUGUGAAUGUUAUGAAAGAAUCAUAACCAUCCACAAAUGUCACAGAAAAUGGACCAAAGAUAUCCAUGUGAAUUAUCUCUGAAAUUCCUAUGCUUCUUUUGGCAUCUUUCUUAAUUUUCUUCACGAACUUUCCCUUAUUGCAAUCGAUGCAUUGCUCUAAAUUUAAAAAUUCUAAAGGCAGAAGAAUUGAUUCCUUAAUUAACCGUUCAAUUCUCCCCCUCGAAAUAUGGCCUAAAUGACAGUGCCAUAAUUUUGAAGAUACAUCAUCAAUUCUUUUCCGCUUAUUCUUUACAUUCAUAAACGAGGAGGCAUUCACAUUCUCAGUGCUUACAACAUUCACAUUCUCAUAAAGUAAUAAUAAAUAAAGCUCGUCUCGUCUGAAGGCAAGACCAACAAUCUUAUUAUUAAACUUGAUUUUACAUUGUCCAUCACCGAAAUGACAAGCAAAACCAUCAUCAUCUAAGCGCGAUACACUUAUUAAGUUUCUAUGCAAAGAGGGUACAUAAAGAACAUUUCUCAAAUGAAGUACAAAACCAUAUGCUAAUUCUAAUAGGAGUUCUCCAAUGGCUUCGACUUCAGCUUGGAUGCCAUUUGCAACUUUAAUGCUUCUAUCUCCUGUUUGCAGAGCCCUCCCCGUAUGGAAUCCUUGUAAUGAAUUUGCAACAUGAGUAAUUGCACCUAAAUCAAUCCACCAAUUAGAUUUUGCAUAACUUAAAUACAAGGACUCAUCUACGAAUCUAUUAAGGUCCUCACCUUUCUUACAAAAUGCUUUAGGAACUCUACACAAUCCUUCUGGUAGUGUCCCUUGUUCUUGCACCACUUGCAAGUGUCCUUGGCCACCACCACUUUAUGGUUUGAUCUUUGAUGGUGAUCAUACAUUGGAGCCUUUCCAUGUGCCUUAGAAGAAGAGGUAUUGUUCCACUGAGGUUUCCCUUGUGGCUUAGAAUUUUUGUUCUGAUAAUUCCUCUUCUUGUUUUGGCUCAGGUAAUUGACAGUAUCACCAGAUGAGCCCUUAACCCUUUCUUCUUCUUGCACACACAUGGCAAUCAUCUUCUCAAUACCCCACUUUUCUGGCUGUGUGUUGUCAUUCAUAGCAAAAGUCUCAAACUCUUUGGGCAGGGAGGUAAAGACCAGAUGGAUUACAGACUCCUCUGGGAGCUCCAUGUCCAUAGGCUUAAGUUUGGAAGCCAUAUUGGUCAUUCUCAAUAUGUGUCCCUUAUUCCACCGCCAAUAUACUUCAUAGUAACACGCCUCCUAAUAAGAGUGCUUGCAUAUGCCUUUGAAGAGACAGUAAACUGACUCUCCAGCUUUCUCAGGUACUCCUUGGUUGUGUCACACUAUGAGAUUGCUCCCCUUAUUGACUCCAAAAUGGAGCUCUUAAUCACCAUGAUGCACUUUCUUUUUGAAUUGUCCCACUUUGCACGAUCAAGAUCAUACUACAUUCUAAUUGGUGCUUAAUCAUGCACCCUUUUAUUGAAAUCAUCUUCACUCUCAUUCUCGGCCCUCACAGGGUCCUUAGGAGCUAUGGGACAAGCGCUAUCUCGACCUUCUCCCGCCAUGAUCUAUAAUUCCCUCCAUUGAGGGGCUCUAUGGACGAGAUGUAGCUCAAAGGAUUGUCUGAAUGCAAAAAAAUUUAGAAAAAAAAGUUCAUUCAACGGUUGGUCGAACUAAAACAUAAAACUUCUCAUCAUUAGUUCCAUAUCACCAUUGGGCAGAAAUAGAAUCAACAAUGAUAAAACCAAACUUAUCAGUACAACAAUUUUAUCAACAAUGUUGGUUAGUAGAUAAAAUUACCAUACUCAGAAAAAAUACUUAUUUUCUAAUUAAAUUUUUCUGUUGGUUCCAAUUUAAUUAGAGAAAUAGACUAAAAACUUCAACUUAAUGCUUAAAGGUAGCAAAAUAAAGCAAAAAAAUCAACUUAACUUAAUCUUAAUAUAGCGGAAGCUAAAACUUAAUUUGUAAAUUUUACCCACAGGAAAAACUCCUUAAAACUAAUUUUAUUUGAGCCACUAAUAUAAUUUCCAGGAAAAAAAAUUUGCUGGAAAACAGAGGGCUCAAACUCUUCUGUUCUUCCGGCCUGACCCACACAGCGGCUUGGUCCAUCUUGGCUCGCGCUUGGCAAAAUAGGCCCAAUGCGCACACUGCAAGACCGUAGCCCAUCUGGCCCUCUUUCUAUCACUUGGAUGCUGUGGCCCUGCUGGCACACGUGCUGUGGCUCGACCUACUUCCGCUAACGUGCGCUCAUGGCUUCCCAGGCCGCAACCAGGCCUGGGUCGCCAAAGCACCAUCCCGCCUAGGCUCAAUCUUGGUCCAGCUGAACUGUGUUGUCGGAUGGAGAUUGACGGUUCUCCGGUUAUUUCGCCAGCUCAUAACUAGUAGCACGGCCAGCUCCCCCAAACUGUAACUUCCUUUUCCUUCUUCCACUGCUGCAACAGAGUGAGCGAGUGGCGGGGAGUAGUCGUGCGCCGGUGCGGUGGAGUGGCGGAGCGUGGCCUCGGGAGCGCCAGCGAGCGGCACGUUGCCCGGCCCGAGGGUUCCCCUCGGCAAGCCCCUUCAGCGGUUGGUGAAACCAAGAGAUGGCACCGCCACCGGUCCCCUCUCCGGUGCGCGCGCUCGCCCUAGGGUGGGCACCCCCGGCCGCCGAUCAUUCUUCUUCCCGGACGGAUCCGGUGAGUUCUCUCUUCUUCUUCCUUCUCUCUUCCCAGAGUGAGUCUGAUCUAGGGUUAGGGUUCUUACUUGCUACCGACGGCCGUCAAUCCAAGAUCCGGUGGCAGUCGUCUUGUGUCUUGUGGCGGAGCGCCGCUGGCGGUCAUCAGUGGAUCCAGUGAACGCUGCUCGUCUAAAAAAAAUUUCUGAAAAAUUUCUAAUUCAUCUCCUUCUAAAUGCUUCUACCCCGACUAGAUCUACGUACUAGUGUGGUUCUAAUACCAUUGAUGGAUUUACAGGAACUCUAUAAGCAAAUCUAGUGGGUUAAAACUUUUUCUUUAGAUGAAAACAAUGACCUAAAAUCUAGACAGAGACAUCUGAGAGGGGAAGAAAGAGAGAGAGAGAGUAGAGUGGAUCACAACCAUCAGGCUUCGUCGAUGAGCUCGCCAUGAUGGUGAAGACGGUGUUGACAAUGAUGGUGGUGGCGGUGGCGCGAGGAGUUGGCGGAGCUUCGCACCACUAACAGCGCAAAGUAGAAUGGGUACUAGGUUUGUUGGUGGGUCUGGUGGGCACGGCAUCGAACUUGGGUUUUCGUGCCCCCGGCCCCCACCCUGUCUUUAUAGCGCUGCGUGACGGGGGCCCACCAAGCAUAUUCGAUUGAGCACCCCCGAUCAGGGUGCGAUCAAGGACUCCAACUCGGUCGUUGGAUCGAGCUGGACGCGAUCAAUACUAACAAGAAGAUGGCACGCAACUCAGUCGAGGGGCUCCGCUGUGGCACCGGUGUCGGUGGGGCAUGCUGCGACUCCAGCGUGCGCAAGGCAUGGUGGCUCCGCAGGUUCGGUGAUGACAUCGGCGGCCAAGAUGACAGUGCACUAGCUCCUAAUCCUGCAGCCCUCACUAUGGCGCUGUCGUGUGCCCUCUCGUCGAUGCUUGCAUGCAAGAAGCUCGCGCACAGCUCCGUCGAGGGGCUCCGCUGCAGCAGCCAUGUCGGCAGGGCAUGUUGCGGCUCUAGUGUGCCUAAGACAUAGUGGCUUAUGCCUCACUAAUGCAAUCGAUUGAGGAGGAUGAGGAUGUCCAUGUGCAGCAGCAUUCAAGCCAUGCACGAUCGCCAACCAGGUAAGUCCUAGGAUUAGUGUUUGGAUCUGAUUUGGGGAUUUAUUUGGAAUUCGAUUUAUGAAUUCACUCAAAUUUGUUUUUUCUUUUAUAAAUAUGAGAAUCUUUGGAUUCCUCUUCUACUUGUUGAUGAACUUUCAAUACAGUUGCGGAGCGGAAGGAUGGAAGGGGCAGUGGUGGCGGGAAAGUGGUCCAGCGAUGUAGGAUGACGACAAUGCCACUGAGAAGGUGACGGUGUUUGGGGAUAGACCACGGAGGCGGCCGAUGGAGAUUGAGGGGCGGAGGUGGCAGGGAAAGAUGUGAGGGGCGAUGGCAAGUUUGUGGUUGGUGGAAAUCGAGGGGCAGCAUGUGACAUUGCUAGAAUUCAAAAUUGCAAAAUAAGAAUUCAAAAGGGUAAAGCAAGAGAAAUUAAGAAGAAAUUUUGGGACAAAUCAAAGUUACAAAAUGCCAAACCCCAUAACCCUUCAAAUUUCCUAAGGGUUGAAAAACACCCUAGAAAGCACUUAAUUGGGGUAGGAGUUAAAAUAGAAACUCAUACGUAAAAUCAACUUUUAGCCAAUAUAAAUGUUGUAGAACUUUUCAAACUAAACAAAUUUUGUUAUUUGCACUUCCUUUGAUUUUGAGUGGAAGGCACUCAAAAUAUGGACCGAAGUUUGGUAAAAUUCAAAUUUAUUUCAAAUUCACCUUUGGCCAGCUUUCUAUCGAUUUUCAACCAAGUCUAUUUCCAAAUCUGGCAUGAUUUUUACCUGGUAGCCUUUGUAAAAUUUGUAGCCCGUAGUUCCAACUUAAACUUUUGUAUUUGAACUUUUCAAAGUUUAGUUCCAAAAUAUGGAGCAAUUUUGCACCAAAACUGCUGCCCUCGCCCACCACCCGCGUCGCCAACCUACACCGGAUCGGGGUGAUCUCGCACGGCGCACCGCCCGACACCACAUCGCGCCGCUCGGUCAACCCUCGCUGGCGACAAGAAAAGUCAUGCCCGGCGCUCGCCCAACCCGCGCGCGCUUAUCCUCCCCUGGCAUGGCAUAUCCCGGCCGGCCAACCCACGGCCAUGCACGCUGGCGCACCGGACGCCACCCGGUCACUCCCCGUGUGCUGGCUGGCUGACCUCCGCCACUCGGCCAAUUGCCGCCUAUGAUAGGAUGGGACAACCUGGCCUUCGCCCAGUCUUCGGCUAUGCUAUCUUCUCCUCUCCACGCCACAAUCUCCUUUGGCCAACCACAACACGCAGCCCACACGCGCGAACGCUGCACACCACCGCUGGCCUCUCUCGGCGCGCCUCUGCUUGCCGCCUCUGUCCGACCAUUGUCCUCUCACCCAACCGCGCGGUGAGCGCACGCUGCACGUCGCCAACUCGCUCACACUCUUUUGCCACUAUAAAAGGGCAAUGCUCAGCUCACCGGUGUGGCAGAACCACCUAGAUUAACCUGGCUAAAGUGUACUCAACAUCACCUCACAUGCGAACCGACACUUAAAUCAAGUUAAAAUGGUAGUCUGUUGGGUUAUACCCGAUAAACCACUUGUCUCGGAUCAAAAUGAAGGCGAGUCUAGAGAUUACAACAUUCCAGUAGUUUAAUACAUAGGUCCCACUUUAUUUAUUACAUCACAGUAGUUCAAAAGUGCGUAAAGUGAAUUGUUCAAAGUUUAAGCAAUGAAAAAAGGAUGGUAACUAAAUGUCAAAGCAGAAACAUCAUGGCAAAGCCAACCAUGACGUCAAUUACCAUGAUCCUCGCCGACCGAGGAUGGGUCCCACUCGACUGUCUAACCUGGAGGGAGAUGGGUCAGCCAAGUCACACUUUCAGCAAAAGCACUAACAUCUAAGUUACCUGAAAGUAAAGCCACAAGCAAGGCUGAAUAUACUAAUACUCAACAAGACUUACCCAUCGGGUGGUAACUACUCUACUGACUUCUAGACAUGCAGGGCUUUUUGGCUGAGGGAUUUGUUUUGCCAAAAGCUUCUAGAGUGGAUCCUUACUUUCAAGUUUUAGCAACAGGUUCUAGUUGAUUAACCAUUCUAGGUAAGCGCCUAUUCUAUGCAAGAAUGUUGAUCAAACAUUUGAUUCCAAGCAUCAUCGUUAAAAUAAUCAUUCUCUAUUCCACUUGUUACUCAGUGCAGCAUAGCAGUCAAGCAGUCUCAAGCUGUGAGAGGCAGAUGAUUCAAAUCGAGUUUUCAAACCUUGCAAGGUGUACCUAAUCCCACGAAGGGUCCACAAAUGUCAGCCGUCCCCAUCAAUUCCCAGGCACAUGGCCACGGCCCACUCCAUCGGGUACAAGGCCUCACGGUCCCGGAAUGUCACCGUACCAUGACUGCACUUCUAUCCACAUGAUGCAUCAGGGGAACUUACCAUGACUGCACUUCUAUCCACAUGAUGCAUCAGGGGAACUUUGUUCCAGAGAUAUUGGGGAGUAUGCCCACGUCUUGGUUCAAUCAGAUACUAGUCUUCCUUAUCCCAUACUAGGUAUGAGAUUAGUACUUUCAAACACUUGACCACGAGCACCGUCACAUUUCAGCCUUAGCACAUUUAUUACUAGACAGAUAGGGCAAUUCCAUCGAGUCAGAACUAAAGCCCAGCCCCACCCAUCAUCCUUAUGGUUGUAGUAAAAGUAAGCAAGCAACUCCUAUAACUCGUGAGUGAUAGGAAAUCACUAGACUUUUACCGAUUCCCUAUUUAGCAUAGCAACUACACGACUUAACAUACUAGUAUUCAGCACAUAGGUACCUAGGAUCAUGCAACUAAGGUUUCAAGCAACUCCUAUGAAUUUAAAUGCACAAACAUAAGUAGCAUGGAUAUUGCAUGAAAAUUUAAAAUCAAGGUUAUGCUCCGAGGCUUGCCUUCCUAUUCUAAGUUAGUAAAGAGCUCGUUGGAAGCCUAGCAAGGAUCUUGAUUAGCCUCGAAUUGAUGCAACUCUGCAGGUGCCUCCUUGGUCUGAAGCAGCUCGUAAGUUCCGUCCACAAGAUUCGCUUCGACACGAGAUGCAUAUGCAAAAUUCAAGUUUCACGAUUUUUUUACGAGCAUGAUGGAUUCAUAAGAUUUUGUAGCGUAUAAGUUUAACAUGUGACCAACUCAAGAUUUAAAUUGAGUUCUUUGUGAAUUAAAGUAUUUUACGAUUUAAAUUUAAGGUUGAUUUUGAUGGUGAUUGUGUACACAUAUAUAAGGUUUUAGAAACUUAGAUUUCACAAAGAAAGGGUGGGGUCACUUUAGGGUUGCUCAAAACUCAUUUGGAAAGUUAUCCUAUUUCUGAAUGUUUAAACAACUCAAACUAUCAUAUUUAAGUGCAUUUAACUACAUGCAUUUAUUUGAGCAAGGUAAAACAUGUAGCAACCAGAAGCUAGUAUUUUUCCAAGUUAAACAAAGGCAUCAAGAACCUAACAAAAGUGAUUUUGCAUUUUUAUCUAUUUUCUUCCAUUUAUAGAGCAAAUAACAAGAUCACACCUAGCAUUACAAGGUUUGCCUUAAACCAGUGUGUUCAGCACCUAAACUAGUGUCACAAAAUUCAUAUCUAGAACAAGCAUGACACAAGUGCUCUAACAGAGGUGGAUGUACAUUUUUACCAUUUUUGUAUGAUUUAUGGGGCAUUUAUGUGCUUAAACCAAAAAUAAAAACCUAAGGGAAAAACACAAUAGUAACAUGUCCAAAACCAUUUUUCUGUAAAACUACUCACAUUUUUAGCAUUUUUCUACACUUUCUUAUGCAUUUUCAAAGUUUCAGCCGAUUUAAACCAAAAUAAAAUAGAAAAGAGAAAACACGUUUCACAAGAGGGUCCCUCAAAGUUUUGAACUAUUACAAACAGGUCAUGCCAUUUAACACUAAGGACCUUGGGGUUUUUCAGGGGCUCGCAAUUGAGUCCCUGGCCGGUCGGCGGCUUGCUGGUGGAAUUCUUGGCGAGCAGCGGCGCUAAGGGGGAAAAGGAUGGCUCGGGCGCGUCGAGAGGCUCACCUCGAGCCUGUGGAGUGUACAAGUUGUGGAUGGAGGGUGGCCGGAGAUGCAGUUCCACGACGAGGUGUGGGCGGUGGAGGAGAAGGUUCUUCUCCGACGCCGCGAGGGUGGAGAAGGGCAGGCCAAGGCUCAGUGGGUUGUGAUGAUGCUCAGGAGGGGCUUUGGUGGGCUUUGGAGGUAGCAGCAUAGCUCAGAAGGGGGAGCUCCACAGCAGGGUGCUCUAGCGGUGCGUUGAGAUUCUGGUAGAGGGGACGAAGGCGGCGGGGUACACCGGCGAUGGCCCUCGGGCUCCUUUUAUAGGCGCGGGAGAUUAAGGAGGAGAUAAGGAUGAGCGGGGGUGCUCGAGCUACGGCUGGAGAGCAUGGGCACAAUGGGGCAUUGGCACGCAGAGCAGUGGCGGCGACAUUGGGCAGAGGCGGCGUGUGGCACGCGGGGUGAUCGCCGGAGGUUGGCCGGGCAGGAUAUGGGUGUGAUUCUGCCCCUUUGCUUCGCGCGCUGAGUGGUGGAGGCGGCGAGCGUGUCCAGUCCUUUCACCAGUGGCAUGGGCCGGUGGGAGAGCCAAGCGGAGGCGGCGGUGUGGCGGUGGUGCAUGCGGGCGUGGGCAAAGAAGCACGGCGGCGACUGGGCGAUGGAGAUGUGCGGCAGGGGGUCAGGAUAUGCGCGGGUGGGGGUUGGGCAAACGGCUGGGACGAGUUGUCCUUUCACGACUGGUGAUUGGCUGGAACAGCUACACUGACAGGGUGGCACCAUGUGGCAUGCCACGGCGCGCCGUUCGUGAUCACCACGAUCGUGGGCACGUGGCAGGCGCGUGGCAUGCGGGGCAGCAAGAUUUGGGGAGAUUUUGCGCAAAAUUUUCAAACCAAACUUGAAAUAGUUCAAAACUAAAAGUUGUUGUACACAUUUCAAACUCCUACUCUUAGAAAGAUUUCAAUUCAAAACUGUUUUAUAUUUGGUGAUACAAGCCAUCAAAGUUUGAAGGAACGCCUGUUUUCAGGACUUAGAGCAAUUUUGAAAAGAAUUUGAAUUUGGCUGAACGUUGACUUGAAUUUUGAAAGUGUUCCGGUCCAAACUAGAAAAAGCUCAAAUAAGAAAAGUUGUUUGUUUUGAAACGUUCUACAACUCUUAUAUUGGAAAAAAUUGGAGUUGUUAUAUAAAAUUUGGAAUUAAAAACUGCCCGCAAAAAGUGCCUUUUUAGGGUAUUUUGUUAAUUUCAGUGUUUGAGUGUCAAUUUCAACUUUACUCUUUGGGAUUUUUGGCAUGCUUGCUACAAUUCAAACAUAGUUUGAGUGUUUUUCAAACUUACCCCUUUGUUUGACUUAGUUUUGUUCAAAUUAGCCCCUAUUUGUAAUAUUUCAUUUGUUUAAGUGCAUUGCAUUUUCAACUAUAGCAAGGUUUAUGUCCUAAGUGCGAAUUGUAUCCUUAACCAUUCUAAUUAGCCUUUCAACAUGCACCCUUAAACUAGGGUUGUUACAGCCAGUGCCACCUUUCACCGCCCCCACACGAAAACUCUGCCGCCGCCCGUAGCGCCGCCCAUGGAACCCUUCCCUCUAAGCACCUCCGACCGCCACUUUACCUUCCCAACACCGCUCCCGGCCAUCCCCGUCGCCACCUUGCCGGAGAUGACAAGCCCUCACUGCGCCUGAGAGCUCAUCAUCGAUCGCCGCCGCCAGGCCUCCUCCGCCCACGACUUCCACAGCCCGCCGACCCUCGGUGAGCCCCUCAACUCACCCGUGCCCCUAGCUCACCCUCUCCCCACCGGAGCGCCGCCGGCCGUGCCCCAAGGACCACAUUGCAUAGCCCCAAAUCUUCCCAGGGUGUUAGGUGUAAGAUGUAAGGGCCCAGUUGUGACGCUUUAAAAGAUCCAAGGGCCUAAGUGCGAAACGUGUUUUCCUUGUUUGGUUUAAAUUUGUUUUAAAUAACUAAAACUUGGGAAAUGUCUAGGAAAAUGUAGAAAAAUGGGAAAAAUAUGAAACUUGUUUUGCUAGGUUCCUGGUGAUGCCUAGUUUAAUUUAAAAAUGGUCAUAUGCAUGUUACUGUUUGUAUCUGACGCUAGAAUUUAUUUUGCAUAAAAACAAAUAAAUGCCUUAUAACUCAUAGGAUGCUCUGAAAAAUGUGAACCCACUUUUUUUAGUUUCCUUUUGACAUGCAUGUUCAGGAUCUCUAAGUUGUGCUACUAGAAUCCCUGAUGUUCAUACUAUUUUAAUUUCAAAUGCUUAAUUGCUUUUUUAAUCUGGUUAUUUGCACAAUAAAUAGUGGAAAAUAGAUAGAAAUUCAAGAUAAAUUUUGUUAAACUCUUGAUGCACAUGUCUAACUAGGAAAAGUAUUUUCUUCUAUAAGAUAUGUGUUUUACAUUGCUUAAGUAAAUACAUGUGGUUUAAUGUCCUUUUUAUGUGAUAAAUAGUUUUCAUGCUCAGUAAACCCUGAAAAAUUUACAGUAGCAUAUGUUAGUGUUGGUAACCCUUUUGUAAAAUUUGUGGAUCCAGGAUAUUAAUGAAACUCUAGUUAAAAAUCAUUCUUCAUGUUUUAUAAGUUAACACUGUUUGGUUUUUAUUAAAUGUGGUAGAAGUCAAAUGUAUCUUCAAUUUUUAGAGAAGAUCACUUGUGCCGAGGGGAAGCUUCUAUAAAAAUUUCAUGAUUAUAUCUUAACAGAUGCUUCCAUAAAUAUUUACUCAUUUUAAGAGCUAGUUUAAAUUAAUAAUAAUAAUUGCUACUAGAAAUGGUAAACUAGCCAAUGUUUAAAUUCAAAAAUAGGAUAACUUUCAAAAUAAUUGUUAGACAGUACCAGAAUGACCCCACCUUUCUUUUAUGAAUUCUAUGUUGUUAAAAUCUUAUAUGUGUACACAAUCACCAUCAAGAUAAAACCUAGGUUUUAAUCACAACCCACCUUGUUUUGCGAAGAAAAGUUUUGUUAAAAUCUUGUCUAGGUGAAUGUGGUCAAAAUGCACCCUAAGCUUUUACAAUGUUCGCGAAAUGCAACCUACACCCUGAAAGUGUGUAAUUGAAAUCUUAAGCAUAUGCAUCUCGAGAAGAAGCUAAUCUCAUUGACGGUACGUACGAGUUGGUUCCGGAAGCUGAAGAGGAACACUCGGCCGCUGCGGUGAACUUGAUCGAGGCCACACAAGACCCGAGCCAAGCUUCGGAAGAGCCAUAGGCUAGCGUAGUACAAGAAGGCAAGCCCUGGAUCAUAACCUUGGUUUCUAAAAUUAUGCAAUAUUUUUGUUACUUAUGUUUGUGCAUUAAGUUCAUAGGAGUUGCUUGAAACCUUAGUUGCAUGCUCCUAGUACCCCAUGUGUUGAAUACUAGCAUGAUAAGUUGAGUAGUUUCUAUGCUAAAUAGGGAUACGGUAAAAGUCGAGUGAUUUCCGAUCACUCGCAAGCUAUAGGAGUUGCCUAUUUACUUAUGUUGGAAUCAUAAGGUUGAUGGGCAGGGCUUGGUAUAUGUUUUGGAAUUGGUGGAUGCCCCGUCUGUUUAGAGGAAAACUGCUAAGGUCGAAAUGUGUUAGAGUUUUGGUCAAGUAUUUGAAAGUACUAAAUACAUACCGAGUAUGGGAUCAGGAAGCCUAGUACCUGAUUGAACCAGCGUGGACCUUUUCCCCGCUCUCUCUGGAACUAGGUUCCCUUGAUGCAUCAUGUGGGUACAAGUGCAGCCUCGGUACAGCCUCGUCCGGGACCGGUGGGGCCUUGUAUCCAAGGGAAGUGGGCUCUGGACAAGCGUUGCAAAUUGAUGGGAACCGCUAAUAUAUGUGAACCCGUAGUGGUAUGCAUAUGUUGUGUGUUUAGGUCCACCUUGCAAGGUUAAGAAACUCGAUUCAAAUUGUCUACUUCUCAUAGUUUGGGACUGCUUGAUCGCCUUUCUGCACUGAGUAAGAAGAGGAGCAAAGGUUGAUGAUUAAUAUGGAUGCUUGAUUAAUUUUCUUGUUUCAUUAUGCUUGCUCAGAAUUGGUGCUUAACUAGAAUGGUUAAUCAACUAGAACUUGAUGCUAAAACUUGAAAGUAAGGAUCCACUUUAGAAGCUUUGGUAAAAAAAAACCCCUCAAUCAAAAAGCCUUGCAUGUCUAGGAGUCAGUGGAUUAGAUACCACCUGACGGGUAAGUCUUGUGGAGUAUUAGCAUACUCAGCCAUGCUUGUGGCUACGUUUUUAGGAAAUGAUGAUUUUGAGGAUAUGGUUACCAAUGCGACUUGGCCAUCUCAGCUCCCUCUGGGAUGGACGGUUGAGUGGGACCCAUUCUUGGUCGGCGAGAAUCAUGCUGAGUGAUAUCAUGGUAGGCUUCACCAUGGUAUUAUGUAUCGUUGUUAGAACAAUCAUUUUAUUUUUCCGCUGCUAUGAACUCUAAACUACUCUUUUAUGCAUUUGAACAUCCGAUUUGUAAUAACCUAAUUUGGGACCUGUAAUAUGUUAUCUGGAUUGUUGUAAUCUCUGGACUCAUCUUCGUGCGAGCAUUGUAUGCUUGUUUCGAUCAGAAACACGUGGUUGUAUUGGCUGAAACCCGACAGACUACCAUUUUAAUUCGAUUAAAGUGUUUAUUCGCAUUUGAGGCGAUGUUGGGAACACUUUAGCCGAGUUAAUUUGGGUGGUUCUGCCACACGGCGGCGGAGGGGAAGGGUGCAAGGGGUGGGUGCGGUGAUGAAGGACGAUCAAACAUAGGUGGAGGGACUUUCGUGUGUGCAGGGUACGCUCCAGGGCGGGCUGAGGUUUGGGGAUCAAUCGUAGGGUGCACAGGAAUCGAAGUCCGCAUCUUCUAGCGACAGAGGGCUAUGGUUUGAUAGAGUGUGGGAUGAUUCAGACGGAUGGCGAAGAUGUACGACGUUUGUUCGCCCUCCUGCAUUUUUAGUACACAUGAUUCAACAAUACGCUAACCUUAUAUGUCAAUAUUUCGAAUAGGCAAACUCGACAUUGCAUGAAGAUCCGAUAUUAUUUUUUACUUCUCACGCUACCUUACCUAGAUUUUUCCACAUGUGAUACAUUCUUA